rnacentral:lncRNA from 1 species
AUAAAUACUAGUAGCGCACAUUUUGCCCCCACGCUACUAGUAAAAAUUAGGAAUUAAAAAAAUAAAAAUUAGAUGCAAUAUUCAUGGAUGAAGAUCAGAGGCACGUCCAGUGCAAAAUAAAUUAAGGUCACAGGACCAUUUUAACACUUGCACGUUCAUGGAUGCAACAUUGAACAUCUCAACUAGAAGAGAUCACGAGAUUUCAUUUAACAGUAAACGCACACAACCAAAGGUGGGUACCUUUCCUAGUGUUCCACGAGCAGCCUAAACAUACCACUUCUCUAGAUGUAUGUACAAGGCUCGGAGUUCAGACGCCGGUGGACCCGAAUCCUCGCUCCCCCCAAAUGAUGGUAUCGAGGUCCUCCACCUCGGUGACCUCCGGCGUCACGAUCACCUAGAUGAUCAUCUGUGCGAUGCAGUUGCCGGGCUUCACGACGAAGUCCACCUCUGAGUGGUUGAAAAACACGGUGCCCACCGGGUAGUGAUACUCCACGUCGAUCACCCCUGCGGUCAUGUCGGGAAAGUGAAAAAUUGUUAGUGCUCGUUAGCGUCCAAAUCCAGUAGGGUAUUUUCGUACUUUUUAGAAGAUGCACACGAACCAAUAGUAACAGCCGGAGGCUGAUCCUUACUUGUUGCACGAGAUGUGAAGAAGGGCGGGUCCCCUCCUUGUUGCACGAACGAAUCAAAGGAAGACACUGCCGCGAGCCGUGAAGAAUGCCCUCCUUCUGUAAAUAGAUCAGGUGCCUGAAGUUGUAAGGAAUCUUAAUACAAUGAACUCAUAGUAAUGCAUAAUAACAAGAAAAAAGAAAAAAAUAACCAUGAAUCCUAAAGAAAAAGAUCAUUCUAUGAGUUAGGUUGACAGUUUUGAGACACGGGAAAGGCCAAGGUUCGUAGCUUUUUCCCUACUGACUAGUACAAGUGCAGCAGCACCAUCGUUGUACAUUAGAAGAUGAGAAUGGCACUACAGUUACACUUCCAAGUAAACAUUGCUUUACAUAACUUAUAUUAACCAUGGAGAAAGCCUAAAAUUCGAGCUACAAAUUAAUAUAGUUUCAGUACACUCUUAAGAUGAUACAUUUACUACUAAAGAUAUACAACAUAGUUUGGCUGAUGCUGCAUACCAAAGGUAAUCUGCUACAAUGCUACACUAAGAAGUAUCAUAAUUCUGAAUGAAAUUGCGAGUUUAGAGGUAUUAAACAGACACACUUCGAUCACAAAGAUCAAUAUCUACUAGCUUAAAUUCAAAUGCUUUAGUCAAGAUUGUAAUAGCAUACUGGUACUAAGAGACAAUAUUUCAUAAAGAAGGAGAGUUUUGGGGUCCUCAAAUAAUGCACACACCGGAAUAAGUUCCCAAUCAAACGUGCCUCUGUCUGGAGCUGCUAUUCCAUGCUCAUUGCUCUGGAUGGCAUAAGCAUCCUAGAUGAAAGAACAACCAGGAUUUGUUUAUUCAUUAGUGCUGAUCUCCACGGGUAGCUAGCAGUUUAUGGUAAUUAAAUUUAUUUUUUAGGUUGAUUGGCAAUUCCUGUUAUUCAAUCUAGUCUAGAAAGUGAAAAAAGACAAGGAGCAUAUGCACCUUGAUUCCCACAGGUGAAGAUACACUGCUAGCUUAGCUCAAUCAGAAUACUAUGGUUUCUACAAAACUGUAGUUUUGAAAACUGUGAGGUGUUUGGCUAAACCAACAACAGUAGUUUCAUAUUCACUUGUAUUCCUGAUACAAUGUUUUUUUCUAACUUCUAGAAAAAGAGGUCCAAACCUCUUUUUUCUCAAACUGACAGCUUGGUUUGUAACUCACAAUUAUCAACAUGGCAAACUAGGCCUCUGCAUAGCAUGCUCCACACAAAAAAUGGCAGUUUCUGCCAUGGAGGGCACAUGCAUACUGCAUGUAUGUUAAGUUUGCAUGCUAAACAUUUUCCCUUAUGCUCAGGCUAAUUAACUGGAGGCAUACCCCAAUGUAUUAGGUAAGUGUUUUUGCUGAAACAUGAGGGGCAAUCAGCCAUGUCGCAUGAGGCCAAGACAGUAGAGCUCAGGCACAGAUCCUAUGCUAGCUAGCUUCUCAGGACCAUAGUAGAUCUAGUACCAAAAGUGCACAAAACAAAGCACAAUUACCUUUCGGCAUCAGACGGCAUGGUUUCAGCAUAACUGAUCUUGCAGAAAAAUAAACGGAGAAGAAAAUAGAUAAACAGGCUACCCUGCAUCUUGGACUAGAGCUGCUGCUAGUAGUGCAAACAGAGGAUGAUGAUAUAGUAGAAGCGCAGGAGAACUAGUCAGUUUUGGCUGUGUGUCUAUCCGGCCUCCGGCAACAAUCGAGUCAGCCGACACGCAUACUGCGGACCAAUUGAACUACUACCAUGGCCGCCGGUUCUAGCUUGGCUGGCCCGUCCAAUCGGUCGGUGUUCUGGCGCGAGAUUCAUUGCCAUCAGUGAGUCAACUAUCGCGCCCUCCCAGCCCAUGGAUCUGAGCCGGCCAGCGUGUGGCCCAGCUUCAGCCCCCCGCCCGCCCCUAAGAUUGGAACACGCACCGCCGGCCUAGAGAGCAGGAAAUCCGGCGGCCCGCCCGCCCACCUAGCUAGCUACUACCUCGCCGACGGUGUCGCCUCGGUUCCUCCGCCUUGCCCGGGCUCGCAGCGGAGAUCGGGGAACAAAGGAGGGGAGGAGAUUCGGGGGGAAAGGAAGGGGAGGGGAGAGACGAGUUUCCUGACCUGCCUACCUGCCUUGGAUGAGAUCUGCCUGCGUGGGAGACGAGUUUCCUCAUCUCCCCAUGAUCUCCUCACCGUUUGCCUCUCCAUCGCCGCCUUCCCCCUCGCUGCCUCAAGGAAAGGGUGCAGGCCUUGAGGCACGGAUCUGGGAGGAGGGGAGGGAGGGGCGGAGCUUGGGGUUCUUGGGGGCGUAUUCCGCGCGGCCGGAGCUUGCCGGAACCGGCCGGCGUGGGUGCUGGUGGCGGCGAGGAGGUCGUGGGGGAGAUGAGUCAACUGAGGGGUGGGGGUGAGGUUGGAGAGAGAGAGAGGUUUUUUCUUUAGGAUCGGGGUGGGAGUGGAGCGACAAGGGAGGGAUACGCUCAGUAGUAGCGUGGGUAUCUUACCUGCGCUAUAGCUAUUCACUUAGUAGUAGCGCGCGUUUAUACCCCUCGCUACUACUAUGGCAUGUCCCGAGGAGGCACGGUAGAGACCGCUUAGUAGUAGCAAGGGGUAAAAACCCGCGCUACUACUGUCAACUUAGUCGUAGCGAGGGGUAAAAACCCGCACUGCUAGUAAGUAGCAGUAGUGAGUGGUAUAAACCUGCGCUACUAGUAAGCGUCUGUCUAUAAGCUUUUUCCUAGUAGUGUUAGCUGGUUUUCAAAGUGCAUGUAGCUUCACAUUUCUCAAGUUAUGUUGAUUUCUGGAGUGCAAGUGACUUCGUAUAUUUUAAGUUAAAUGUUCGCCCCUGGUAACUUGAAUUCGUGGAUCCGCCACUUCACACAAAUCAUACACGAAUGCCAGUACAAAUUAAAUGAAAAUGCAGGGACUUACGCUAGCUCAUUGUACAAGCUCACUGCAGCUCUGCUUGCGCUUGGGAUGUUCCAUGUACAAGUCCAUGUUACCGCUUGCUUGGAUGUGCAGGCCUUGUGCUCCAUCCCCCUUUGCAUUUUUGACACGGGGAAUGGUUGAUCAAAUAAAAGGAAUCGACCUUGAUGUUGUACCGGAGGACGGAUACUUACAAGGUUAUACGGGUGUACAGGAUGUGUACCAGAUCCCGUAGCACCGUCAUGCUUUGCUAAAAAAUGGAUUUGCUUGUUUCAGAUGAUAUCUCCAGAAGAAAUAAAAGUUAACAUUAGAGUUGCAUAGGUGUGUAAGCUAAGAGAGCAGUGAAAGGAUAUCCAAACAUCGUCGGAACAGUGCACAAGGGAGUGAUGUGUGGAUACCUAGUUCGGGCCGGAGUUUGGGCAUGCUCGCAUAGCUAGAGUGCGGGUCACUUCAGAGCCAUUGAGGGUGAUGCGCUGGCAUUGGCUGCCCGCGCACAAAUGCAGAUCUUGAGUGGCAGUGGAGCGCUACGAUGCGGUGGACGAGACCGUUGGUGAAGCCCCAACGGCCUCGGGGGGCGGAGGUGCGACGAUGUGCUCGGUGAAGUAGCCCCGGUGAGCUAGGAGACGGCGUCGGUGAAGCGCACCUAAUGCGGUGGAACUCGGUGUCACUGAGGCACGUCAGUUGCAGAGGUCGACGUUGUCGUUGGACCACCAGAUGCGGUGGACGAGGGCGUAGAUGAGGUAGCUCCGGUGCGGUGGUGAAGCGCGACCGCCGUCUUCGUCAUCGUCAUCCGGCACAGAGGUGGGGAAAGAGACGAGAAGAGGGGCGAUUUGAACUUUGCUUGGGUUGGCGGCGAAUUAGGGAUUUGAGCAAUCUGGGCGCGGAAGGGGACGGUGGAGAACAGAGAUUUUGCAGGGCUGAAAUUGGGGCCGCCAGAUAUUUCAAUCCGAAACAUGGAAGCGCGAACUUAUUUUGUCGUCGUCCUUUUUUUUGGGGGUGUGGGGGUGGGGGGAGUUGGGGAGGGAGGGACGGGGGUGGGUGGCUAGGUGCUACACGUCCGUCCGACACACACGACCACCCCGACAGGACUCUGCUUUGGUGCCUUAAGGCACUUGCCUUUGUGUCCAUGACAUGUGGGCCCAACAGGUGGCUGGCCCACAUGUCAGUGACCCAAAGGCAGGUGCCUUUAAGGCACCGAAGCAGUGUCCACCCGACACGACCCUGGUCUGCCUAGUGCGCCUACAUUUGAGAAUGCAAACAAAUCUUCUUUCAUUUGCAAACGAAUCUGUAUGUAUUACCAUGCCCGUGUUUUCCUUCCAAUUAGUCAUUCGAAACGAGAUACUCCCUCCGUUCACUUUUAUAAGUCGUUCAGACAACUUAAAAUGAAUUGUUUUGCACAUUAUCUAAAAUGUCUUCAAGGUUUUAUAAAAGUGAAUAGAGGGAGUACUAUAAUCUAAUUAAUGAGGAGUUAUUUGAAAAAAUUGAAACGGUAUCCACGCUAACGUGGAUUAGAGUGUGUGUCACAUAAUUAGUUAUUUGAAUUAGAGUGUGUGUCAUGUAGCGACCUCCAAUUCUAAUGUGGAUUUCGCAUUUCAUUGUAUCCAUGCUACUUUUUAAUACAAAUUCAUAUGUAUCUGAUGAACACCAUUGUAGUGAGAAAACUUUUGGAUGGAUUCAAACAUAUGACCUACAAAAAAGCACAACAAAUUGAGUCAAUGUCAACUUUUCGAAACUUAGUAUGGCACAAAUUCGAAAUAAUUACCCGUAUGCAUGGUCCUCGGUUCAAAUCUUACAAUGUACACCGAAUUGAAACAUCGAUNNNNNNNNNNNNNNNNNNNNNNNNNNNNNNNNNNNNNNNNNNNNNNNNNNNNNNNNNNNNNNNNNNNNNNNNNNNNNNNNNNNNNNNNNNNNNNNNNNNNNNNNNNNNNNNNNNNNNNNNNNNNNNNNNNNNNNNNNNNNNNNNNNNNNNNNNNNNNNNNNNNNNNNNNNNNNNNNNNNNNNNNNNNNNNNNNNNNNNNNNNCCUUAGGAAGCUAUCGGUUUCCAACACACGUUCAUUCUUUCUCUCCAUGUUUCGAUUUCUAAGUCUCUCAACUACACAACCUCUUUUUCCACUCUGUUACCAAAUGUAUUUACCUCACACACCCGCCAUUGCACCCCAUGCCGAGCUCUCUCUCUCUCUCUCUCCCCUCUCCCUCUCACCCUCGCGUGCUAAAUACAUGCAUUGCCUAUCUAGCCCCCCCCCAACCUCUCAUGCGCACGCACGCACGUUGUAUAUCUAGGUCACUCCCUCGAGACUGUCUCACUCUUUCUUCCACACAGCGGGCCACACUCGCUCAAUCUCGCUCUCUUUAUCUGAGUCUCGGUUAACCUCGUUUUCUUCCACACACAAAUGAUAUAUCUCCCUAUUCGGGCCUCGAUCGACAGACUCUAUACUCUCUCAUGCAGCUUGUCUAUCUAGGUCAGUCCAUCAAAGCCGCUGCCACUCUUUCGACCUAGUGGUGGGCCACGCUCGUCAAUCUCUCUCUCUCUCUCUCUCUCUCUCUCUUUGUAUGUCUCGAUUGACCUUGCUCUUUCUCGGACAAAAACGAUAUAUCACCAUGCUUGAGCCCAAUUCGACCUAUUCACAUUGUAUACUCUCUCUCGCACAUUGUCUAUCUAGGUCACUCUCUCCAACCCGUCUCACUCUUUCGAUCGCACGGCGACCUUAUGUGAUCGGUUGACCUUGCUUCCUCCUACGCACAAAAUAUAUCUACACGUUUGUGACUGGAUCAUCUCUCAAGUUCUAUCUUACAGCCCUCACCCUUGCCAAAAGCUUAAUCGGACAAUAUCUCUCCAGAGCAUGUAUAUUUGUUCAAUGAAUGUCGGACCACACUCACUUUGUCUCUCUAUCUAUAUGUCUCUCGAUUGACCUCGCUUUCUCACACCUCUCCAUCCCUCGCAAAGUCGGAGCUAUUUACAUUGCGAGGGGCACUCCAACCUUGGAUUAAUUUGUGUAGGCAUUUACUCCGGUCGGUUUAGACUAUAUUUUCGUAGCAUUCGGCCCACAACUACUCCAAACACCGUUGCAACCCAUGCAACUCCCCUAGUUGAUUUCCCUCUAGCUCGGUCAUCGCUCUCUCGCACGUCCUUUCUCGCCUUCAACUUCGCACCAUGGUAUUAUUGAAAAAACUAUGUUGUUCUCUUUACUUAUUAUAAAUAAGCUACAAAACUACAGACCGAUAGUCCACUUGGAAUGGAACAAAUUUCGACCCACAAAUUAAAGUGCUACAAAGUACACACCGAGGGGCCCACAUGAAAUGAAACAAAUUUGGACCCAUAUACAAAUUAAAAAAUAAAGGACGAGGAUCAAACAUGCGACCGGGCCUUCAAGCCGCACGUCAAUUGGCAACAUACGUAGAACAACAAUGUUUGUUGUACCCCCAUUGUUCACAUAAUGUUUUUAUAUUACCACAGCCUAAUUAAUGGAUAACAUGUAAUAUUAUUUUUAGUACUAUUCGCCUUCACUUACUGGUGGGUUCCAUGUGUGCUCUCUCUCUCCUCCCCUUUUGCGUUUAGACGCAUGGGCAAACACAAAGAACUCGCGGGCGAUGUUGCCGUUGACCAUAUCUGGACGCGUUCACAAGUCACGGCACUAGUUUCACAUACUAGCAGCACUAGUCAAUGUGUACGUGCAAUGCACGUUAAUUUGGAAGUAUAUUAACUGCAUGCGGAUAUUAAGUACUAGGGUAUUAUUUGCGUGUUAUUAUGUGAUUAGCACUAUUUUUGGCAUGAAAUUAACUGCACGCUAAACGUGUUGAGCGCUCGACAUUGAAGCAGUCUAGGUCAUUGGAUGACAAGGAAUACAUGUGGCUUGAUGACGUUUUAUAUUUAAUUUGAUACGGCUCUAGCAGAUCAUUCAAUCGAUCAAACCAUAGAUUUCGUUCAGCCUGACUCCGACUUUAAAUUAUACGACGAUCGAUAUAAAAUAAACAGAAAUGAUAAACGUUCGGAUUUUAAGCAUGGCAAUCCGAACGUUUUUCAUGGCAAAUUUAGAUUACGCGGCGGCGGCGGGGGCAUCUCGCGGUGCGAAGCGGCUCCUCUGCCGUGCUCUGUGUGUCGUCGGGCCACUGAUCGACGGCGACGGUGGCUUCUUGCGUCGUUGUUGGCGUACUCCUGGACGUUGGCCUAGCUUCAAGGAAGGCCAAAAUGUUCUGGACUUCGGAGCGAGUCAACUGGUGGGAGGAGGCGACUAGCGUUGGUGCAAGGAAGCGGUCGACGGAGGCCAUCCAUGCCGCUGAGGGGGCACUGGCACCCGCGCGGGGACAUGCGCUGUCAACGGCGCGGCGGAGACAUUCGUGUGCACAGGCACCGGCACGGGUGCGCACGUCAGUGCACGCGCAGGCGCAUGCGUUGGCAGGUGCACGGGCACCGGCACGGGUGUGCGCGUUAGUGCACGCACAGGCGCAUGCGCUGGCAGGUGCACGAGCGCGUGAAAGUCGGCGGGGACCUCGUGAAACCCCGUGGGAUCAAGCUCGGCGAUAAUGUGCGGCUCCCAGCCCAUCAGUGCCACGGGGAUGGGCGCUGGCGCAAUCGGGGCGACGGGACCCGAAACGGGAGCAGGGACAGGCGUGGCGUCUUCCUGCAAGGCCAGUUCAAGCUCGUCCCAAAGUGCCUUAUGUUCUUGAGACUCCGGCUGGGUGUCUUCCUCAGGAAACUAGAACACUAAGGGCAUACCAUCGUGAUGCGGCAUCGCGUACGUUUAGGCCAGGCUAGUUGGAGGUAGACGACAGGAGAAUCGAAGAGGAAGAGAGAAGAUUGUAGCGAUACCGGGUAGUGUGGGGUUGAUUUUAAACUGCGGCGUCGGUGACAUUAAAAGUGGGAGCAGUUGGGACGACGAUGGGCGGCAGGGCCUGGUCAAAGGGCUCGCCUGCCGGUGAGCCUGCACAACGGUCUGCUCUCACGCCUCCCUGACAGCUGGCGCAGCGGUCUGCUUGCACGCCUCCCAUCGACACACACACUUGCUCGGACGACACCUGAUGAUGAGAAGCGGGGACUCGUGGCGGCACGUAAUCGCCCACGGUUUCAAUAGUGAAAGCGUUCGCCUUAACGUGACAGGUGUUUGUUCCAAAAUACCUUGGCUCUUCAUUUGUGCAACUUGCCAUAAGCAGCUUGUCUCAAAUUGAAGAAAAAACUUACGAAGUAAUAUUUGUGCCAUAUCACGUGACCAUGCUCAGUUUCAAGAAUUUAUGCUCACUUUUGGAUUUUCAGAAAUUUAAGAUCCAGUAUUCGAAACAAUAUCAUAACCUGCAUCAUGCAAUAAAUUUUCAAGCCAUACAUCUGUCCUGUUGUAUUUAUUAAGAAAGGAUUUGGUCAAACAUUUUGCUUAGUUAGACUUCAGACAAGUUAUAUAUGCAGAGUAAAAGGAUAAUCCCCCUGUACCAGUGCAUUGCCUGAUAUAUUAACUCAAGUACUGGGCACGAACAAACGGUCUCAAUUUUGUGCUCAUCCUGGUGUAGUAGUAGUAGUACUAGGCAAUGCAGUUUACGGGUGACCUUGACGAGCGGCGACCGAGGGAAUUGAAGUGUGCUCGGCACGGUAGGUAACAUUGUCUAGUUACUAAAACAUCCCUCUGUUGUUCAUCGGUAGUAAUUAUGGACCAGGGACAUGAGGGGAAUUUCCUAUGGCUGGAAUUUUGGCCGCCAGAUAUUUAGACUUGAAAUGUUGAGGCUCGACUGGUUGGGGUUGCCUAAUGUGCGUACCACGCACGCCACCGAAGGACACGAGCCCAGUUUUUUUAUUAUUUUAUUUUUAGGAUCAACACGAGCCAAGGUCUGGCUGGUACGCCGUUGGGUCCUACCAUUAGAGAAUACAAAAGGAACCUUUUAAAUUGCCGAACGAAUCUAUGUGUAUUACAAUACCCGUAUUUUCCUUGCAAAUACUAAUCUCAACGUGGUAAUUGAUUUAUGACGAGUUGUUGAAUUAGAGUGAGUUUGUGAUAUAGUGAUCUCAAUGUGGAUUUCACAUUUCAUGGUAUCCCUAGUAAGUUUUCCAAUGCAAAUUCAAAUUUAAAAGAUGAACAAUAUGGAGGUGAGAAAACUUUGUAUGUCUCAAGCAUAUGACCACACACACACACACACACACACAUACAGAGAGAGAGAGAGAGAGAGAGAGAGAGAGACGCACGAACACAACAACAAUCCAAUAAGUAUAGUGCAUCUAUUUUUCCAAACCAUGCAUGUAUGACACGAAUUUAAAAAUACUCCUUCUAUUCCUAAAUAUUAGUGUUUUAGAGAGUUCAACAAGUGACUACAUACGGAGCAAAAUGAGUGAAUCUAGACUCUAAAAUAUGUCUAUAUACAUCUGUAUGUGCCAGUCCAUUUGAAACCUCUAAAAAGACUAAUAUUUAGGAACGAAGGGAGUAAAAUGUAAGACAUCCAUGGUCCUCAGUUCAAUAUUUAAAAUGAACAUGAAACUGAAACAUGAAUAUUAAGUCUAGUACUACAGUACAUGCAAAUGUUGUGUUUAGGCGGAGCUAUGAUUGUCGGGGGUCAACACCUCGACCUUAGAUAAAGUUGUGGAGCUCUGCUUAGUGUUUUUUAGAUUAUAUUUGUCCCCACCAUCCCAACCACCGAUUGGUUGUUCACCCCCCACACCUCCUCCCCGGGAGAAUAUCAUGUGCCCCAUACCUUAGAUGCUAUAUGCCGAUAUGAGUUGCUUGGAGCUUGUAGAUCUGAGAUAUAGCAGCUCACAUGAUGUGUCUUAAUAUUUUUGCAGGAAACCUUGAUGAGUUUGAGAAUUGCACACAAUUUGUACAAAAACUACUCAGAUGCCCUUGGAUCCCAUAUCCAACGACUUCGAAGCUCGUAUCACCGUAGCAUCUAAGAUGAAGGAGGACAUCAUAUUCUCCUGUAUGUAAGAAUAUCAUGUGCUACCACACCUUAGAGGCUUUGGUGACACAAGCUCUUCGGAGCCGUUGGAUUUGUGACCCAACACCUCCUCGGUGGUUCGAAUGGUUUUUUGCAGAAAAGCCCCAAAAGAGUUCGGCCACUUCUUACAAGCACAAAGACUGCUCAGAUGCCAUUGGAUCUCAGAUCAAACGACCUCCAAGCUUGUAUCACCAUAGCAUCCAAGCUGCGAUAGCACCUUAUGUUUUCUCGCACGGGAGAAUAUGAGGUUCUCCUGCACCGUAGAUUCUAUGGUGAUACGAGUUCACUGAUAUCUAACGACCCACAGUAGGAGGUUUGAAUGUUUUUGCAAUAUACGGCUGAUAGAGUUUGGGAAAUGCGCAGAAAGUACAAGUACUAUGCAUGUGCCAUCUGAUCACUGAUCAUACGACCUAGAUGCGCAUAUCACCGUAGCGGGUAAUUAAGCUACGGGGAGCACCUAAUAUGUGAAACGGGGAGCCGUUGGAUCGAAAAUGCAGCGGCACACACGAGGCCUGAAUGUGUUAUUUGCAAAAAAAACUUUGGAGAGUUUGGAAAUUGCGCAUAAUUACAAAGACUACUCCCAAGCCAUUGGAUCUCACUUCAAACGGUGUAAAAAACUCGUAUCACCAUAGUAUCUAAGCUGCGGGGUGGAUGUGAUAUUCUAUGUCGUUGUCAUAUUUGUUCUUAAACUUGCAAAAUACGUGUAACUCGUGUCGUUACUUGUGUAACCGCCCAAAGUGUUUGUUCAAAAAAACCAUCCUACACUGAAAUAUCGGAACAACACACGGGGGUCCCACUUGUCAUUAAUCAAAUUUGGACCUAAAACUAACAAAUCUGAAAGACGAGAUUCGAACUGGCAACCUAGACUACAAAGCGUAAGUCGAUAGCCUGAAACAACAACGGUUGUUGGCUUUGUCCCAUAACUUGAUUUUAUACAGUACUUGCAUUGAAUAGAGUAGAGGGCGUGCAUCGUCAACACGUGCAUGACCGUUGUUUCACUUACUAGUGGGUCCUAGGUCUGCGAUCUCAAUCUGUCUUCUCUCCAUCGUCUAACCUUUGCACGGGCACCCACGAAGAGUGGCGCUAGCUUGCCGUGGUGUUAUUACAACUAAAAAAAUCUUGGAAAGUAGAAGAAUCUCCUAGAACAAGAGAUGUUGUGGUUGGUCGAGACGGAGCUAACCACAUCUAUCCUCCGUGCCACGUUUGCAUGAUGAAGUUGUGUGCCUAGUUGGUGUUUUCGACCGACUAGCUGGGUCCCGAGGUCGAACCAUAGGUACUACGUCUGAUAUAGUAUAUUUUUACACGCACAUUUUUCCUCCGUGCCGAGACGUGGCACACCCUACCGCACGGUUUCGGGGUCCUCCUGGGUGGUGCACGCAUAUAUUAUUCCUGGCGUGGGACGCCCUACCGCCCGUUUUCUAGGUCCUCCUCGGUCGUAGCGCCGAAGCAAGUAAAUGAGUCGUCAAAUCACGAAAGACCACCUUUCCAGCCGAGUACAUCAGUGAAGCACGGUGGCUAGCUAGUUGGGCUAGUUUGACCGAUUAGCUAGGCCGCCGCCACAUUUUUUUCACCCCUUUUUUUAUCUACUUGCCGGCAGGUAAAUUUAAAUAUCCACCGCGGGAUUGCUCUGGUGUUUGGGUGCGGCGGGAUUUUUAUUUUUUUGAUUGACGGGAGCAGGCGCGGCAGGAUUUUUAAUUUUUUGAUUGACGGGAGCAGGCGCGGCAGCAAUUAGUCACGAUGACUCCGCCUGUAAAACCCACUGCACCCUGAUGUGAGAAGUUGUCGACUAGUGUUUUACCGUGGUGAAAACCAAAAGAUUCCCCGCUCCUCGGCUGGCUCCCUCCGCCUUCCCGUAGAUUGCAUUGCCUUUCAGCCAUUUAUCCCUCUUUGCUUCCUCUCCCCAUUGCUUCUACCUGGUGCCAUGGCGGCGCAGCAGAUCACGGAGUCUGAGGUGAGGGGCCUAACACAGGAGCUCCAUGCCAAGGAUGCGGAGCUCACGGCCAAGGACGUGGAACUCCGUGAGCUUAAGGAGGAGAGGAGUGCCAUGCUCCUCCAUUAUGUGCGGAAGUUCAUGGAGCUUCAAAAGCGGCAGGCGUCCACCACAAAGAUGCCUGAGGCAUCAGCGGCGUUGCUGCAGAAAGCAGGAGAUACAAUAGGCCGUCAGGGGAGCCGGCUGGAGCGCGAGCAGGCCGAUCGUGAUGAGGUCCAGGAUCGCCUCAGCCACUUGGUGAACCAAGUUUCUACGCACGUGUGGUGGCUGUGUGGUGCCUACCGUCAUGCCAGCGUGACAAUGUCGGUCGUCGGGCUAAACCCGUUCGACCAUCUGGUCAACUUCAACGAGCUGCGGCUUCUUGACCUGGUCUCCUUCUUCACCUAUAUCUCCAAGGAGCUGAGCCAUCUCCGCGCGAUGGUGGGGGUUGAGCUGGACAAGGAGGGGUUGCCGGCUGCCGUCGUUGUUGCCGGGCGAAUCCUUUCAGGGCUCCGUCACCGGAAUCCAUUCGUGCCAUUGGACGCCGUCUUUGACGAGCUGGCUCCUGUCGACCGGGAGCGGGCUCUGUGGGCAGUUGCACCCUACAUCACCAACGUCGUGCGCCUCGAGAAGCAGAGGGACUUCGGUGGUGUUUAGGCGCCCUCUGCAUGGGCAUGUCCAUGUCUCGGCGCAACAUGACCAUUGGAUCAAACUCAGACGAUGCAGAUCAGUCACUGUAGCACAAAGCGUGUGGGUGUGUUUGGUUGCAUUGUCAUCUCAAUAUAGUUGUUUCCUCUUCGUGUAUUUUGUCAACCUACUAGUGUGGACUCAUGCACACUUCAUGCACUCUGCCAAACACCCAAAAGUCGGUCGAGAAGGGAACUUUUGCUCCCAUCCCAUGCACCCUUCAUACACCCUGCCUAACACUAUUUGUGCUUCAUAUGGUUCAUGUUUCGUGGAGUACUGUAGCACCGUACUCUCCAUGCACUAUGGACCUAGUUCUGUUAAUAUUGAUCUCACCGUUCAUUCUGAACUGGACUGUCGAAAAAGCAGUACUAUAUUACAUAUAGGAGUAGUUGACAUGCGCACAACAUCAUUUGUUAUCGUCAUAUCUUACUACACUAGCAAGAAGAUUGUGUAGUACUGAUGUAUGAACCACUGCACAUGCCUAGUAGUAGGAGCACUGUGUAUGUUCAAGUGGCUGCCGUGUUUCGCACUCCUCCGUUGUAAGAGUGGAAACGCUUGCUGUAAUCAUUUUUUUUCUUCAGAAAAAAUAGUGGACACGAUCUACCGUGCCGAUCCUCCUCCAGCCAUGCACUAAAUUACUCACUUUCGUUGACGUGUGGGACAGCCAGCACCUGGGUCCACCAGCCAUGCACUAAAUUACUUCGUAGUAGAGUGAAGGUAGACUACCCCGAUCAAAGCGCUGCAGUAAUGCCCAAUGAGCCGUCAAAUCACAAAACCCCCUCCUUUCCAGCAGUAAGUUGGACGGACGAAGCAACCAUCAUUUCACUCUUCUCUCUCAGCUUCCUCUCUUGAAGAAAACCCCCACUCGCUUCGCUUCUCCCUCAUAUCGUUCCUCCUUUCACUCUUCUCUCUAAGCUUCCUCUCUUGGAUAGAUGCUGGAGCACCGGCCGACGUGAUGUCUAUGGCUCUGGCCAAAACCGUCGAGGCUCAUGGUACGAAGAAGCACAAGCACCCCGCCGAGACUACCGCAGACAAGCUCAAAGGCAUCGCCAUGUCCAAGCCCCCCUCUCCGGGAUCCCUCAUUAAGCAAGUCCAGGUAAUUUCUCUUGUUGACGAUCUUUUUCUCGAUUUUGAUCAUGUUUUUUCAUCUAACAAGCAGUACCAGUACUGGUAUUACAACUUUCUGGGUGAUAUUGCAUGUGAUUUUAGUGUGCCAAAUGACGGUUCUAAAUUCCUCUUUUGACCAAAACAUGCGAGAGGUUCACACUGAUUUCUUAUAGAUUACUUUCCACUACUCCCUCUGUCCCAAAUUUCUUGUCUUAGAUUUGCCUAGAUACGGAUGUAUCGAAUACUAAAAUGUGACUUGAUACAUCCGUAUCUAGACAAAUCUAAGACAAGAAUUUUGGGACGGCGGGAGUACUUUAUGAACAUCAAUGCUACCUUUGAAGAGGGUAUAUUUGCCUCAGUAACUUGUGUUAUGGAUAUUGCACGUAAUCCCUCUACUCUCAUGCCUUUGAAGACAUGUUCUAGUGUCUUUGUUCACUCAUUUCUGUGCGUAUAUGUAGUCAUAUAUGGAGUAUAAUAUCGAAAAUCAUCUUAUAUUGUUGAACGGAGGUAGUAAUAAAAUAUGGUUUCUAUUUGAAUUAGAACCAAGUCCGCGGUGGAGAUGAAGUUCUCAAAGUCAUGCCGUGUUAACGGGAAGACCUGAUGAUGAGUUCUACUGCUGAACUAUCCAGCUAUUGUGUCCUUGUCGCCACGUGUCCUGAACUAGUGUUUUCCUGUAGCUUUGUUGUUAGGCGUGUUCUCGAGGUUGUACUUGACCACAACAAUUUCCUGGUUGUGCCUUCGAUUACGAAGGGUGUGGUUCUUGUAAAGCUUCCCAACAAAUCUGAUGCGGCAUGUCUUCAUCAUCAUGUUUAUGAGUGGAAAGACCACUCUUUUAGGUUCUCCAAGGUUGACAAGAUGGUGAUGGUGCAUGUAGACAUCUCACAUGAAUUCCAUGGCCUAGUCAGUUAUGCGGGGUUCAUACCAUAGGUCGGUGGCAAGAAAUAGACUGCAGAGUUUAGUUAGUGCAACUUUGCUUGUCUGUAGUACUAUUGUUCAGUACUUGAUUUGUGUUUGUGAACCAUGUAUUGUUUAUUAGUACUGCCGCUUUUGGUGUGUGGUCAGUCCUGAGAACGGUCUAUGUUAGUGUCGGUCCACUCAAUUCAGUUUGUAUAUUUUGAAGUAUCCAGAUCAUAUUUUUUGUGAGGACGGUUUAUCAAUUAUGGUUACACUCCAAUAUAUGUAUGCAUUGCAGGGUUUAUCGCACCCACCAGGAUUUCCAGUCCCAUGGAUGUUUGGUCCAUACGAUUUGUCACGACCUUUGGACUGUCCUGCUUGUGGGAGUAGGCGGGGCCCCUGCAUGCCACCCAUAGUUGGAUGAUCAAUCUUCUGUUUAGUAAUUCAACAUAGUGAUUUCCUGGUAAGGAUUCACUCGUGUCACAUCAAGUAAAUCUUAUUGAUUUACUGUCUAAAUCUUAUUGAUUUAAUGUCAUGUUUUCUUUCUUUUCCUGCAAUUUUAUGAUGCAGGUUUUUCCAUGUGAUAUUCAUCAUAGAAUAAACCGUUUGGUUUGCUCUAUGAUGGCUAUUUUUGCAGGUUUCACUUCUUAUGUUGUGUCAGUAACGAAGGCACUGUCCAUCACUUAUAUUACUGGAAAAAAAUUGGAUCAGUCUGUUGUCUGAGUACAAGCUGAAUCCCUAUGAUGAACUGAAGUUUGGUUUAACAAAAAUGCCACAAUUAGUCCUUCUCGCGUUUAAAAGAAAUGAAGAAAAAAACCGGAUCACGGUCACGGAUCCUAGUCAAGUUAGAAAGCUGAUCAUAGCAGACCAGACACGAUUGCCGCUGUCUCGCACAUCGGUACCACCUUCAGCAACAGAUCGAGCACCGGCAGUUGCUCUAGCACUGACAGCGGCAGCAGCUCAGUUUGAUCCAGCUAAGGAUUGGGCACCGACCGCAUCAGCGGAUCAGUCUGAUCUACCAGAGGAUCGGGAAUCAACACCGGCACCUGCUCCGACACCGGCAUCAGCUCUACAAGGAGCACCGUCUCCGGUAGCAGCAGCGGCUUCGACACCUGCACCAACAUUUGCACUUGCAUAUGCUCCGGCCCGUGCAGUUGCACCGGCAACAGACUGGGCUGCAGUUCGCACUUCAUAUACCAAAGUCCUAACAAAAACCGACAUGUCCACAUUCUUGGUAAGCACUGGCCGCCCAAGUGCUUCAUUCUUUUUUCUUUCCAUGUUGUUUCACAUGAUUCACUGUGUUGAUCUAACUGUUUGGGUAUGUCUUCUUGUUUGCAAACAGAGAAUUCCUAAAGCAACGAGGGAGUCGUUCAACAAUCCGGGCGACCGUGGCCAAGUUUCUCUUACCAUGCGCAGCCUUGGUGUGAAUGAACCUGCUCAAUAUACCGUAAGUACAAAGGAUGGUCGCAUGAUGAUUGAUGCUAAAGGAUGGUCAAGGUUCAAAUCUAAAUCAUAUCUUGCGGUAGGGGAUGAUGUCAAAAUCGAACUUUCUCGGCAAGGAGAGCUGGUCCAAAUCAACUUUGAAAUUCUUCAGUAGCAGCACGCAACUGCCGAACUGAUCUAUCCUCCGAGAGAUUUUGAUGUAAUAAUCUAGCAUGGUGAAAAAAGUGUCCUGUGUGUAUAAGUAGUACGACAGUAUUAUUUAUCACAUGGUAUAUCAUUGAUAGAAUUGCAACUCUGAUUGCUGGUUAGGAACUUUCGUUCGAUUUCAUUCCAAAAGCUGCCGUGUUUUAUUCAAUUUUGUGUAUUUGCCUUGCGACAGCAUCUAAAACCAGCGCUGUACCGAUCGCUUGCAAUAUGAAAAGCGUUGAUGUAGAACACAUGGUCCCCCAAACAUGCAGGGUUGGCCUGCGGCCCAAAGUCCAGAACCGUGAGCCUAUCUGAGUAUUAUAUUCUCUGCUAAACCCCCAUAAAAAAAGCUGAACCCCCAUAAUGCCCGUGCGUUGCAGAGGGAGUAUAUUUCUCGGCAAGGUGAGCCUGUCUGUGAUAUAAAAGAUAUGUAUAUUUCUUUACAGAGCGAGUAUCUCUCUGUCAAAAAAUAUAUUUAUGUGUAACUAGUUACUCAUGUCUUUCUACUUCCUUUCGCUGAUAUGUGGGGCAACCGGCAACGGGGUCCACAUGCCAUAUGCACAAAUUAGAGUGCACAACUUCACAGUAGACACACCCCAGUCGUAGCGCCACAGUAAUGCCCAAUGAGCCAUCAACUCACAACCCCCCCUCCCCUUCUAGCUUUAGCAGUAAGCUGGACGGAAGAAGCGGCAAUAUUUCAUUGGGCCUGAAUCCCCUUCUCCCUCGUCUGCUUGUUUAGAGAAAACCCCCUCUCGGCGAUUGCAUAGGGUUUUCUCAUGGAGAACCAGGUACGAAUUCUUCAUCCAUCCCCGAUAAAUCCAAGUCCCUUGGUCGCAGGUAAUCCUAGGAUGGCGGCCGCCACCGUUGAUGCAUUUUUCUUCCUACUGAAUCUAGUGUGUUUCAUUUGUAGUGCCCAAAGUGCGAGUACCCUACAAGUUUCUGCGCCCUCGGUGAGACGCCACACUUGUUCCUUCUCAUCCUAACACAACAUUUUGAAACACGCAUAGUAUGUUCCUAGAAUCCUCUUCUCUAUCCGGGAGGGUGGGGUUUUUUUGAACAUGCUGUGUUCUCAUAUUAUUUUUCCUGCAGUGUAUUAUUUGCUCUGCCAGAACACAUGUACUCAAGAUGCUCGGCCUUGCCAUAACUGAAUACACUAGUUUAAUGGUCAUAGUGAAGACAAGCCAUGGAUAUAAGUUCCGAGUUGGGUUCAUGAACCAAGAAGAUCGCUGCUUUUUUUAUGGCCGAACUUGGAUAAACUUUCUCAAUUGUUACAGACAGAAAGUUGGCGCACGAAUGUUGAUGGAAAUAGCAGAACCUGGUCUCAUCUUCACUGCGAUCUUCCACCCCGGCAUCAUUCCAAUUGUUCAUCCAUGUUAGUUUUGUAUGUGGUUCUUGCUUCUUGCCUCGAUUACUUCAUAAUCCACCUAUUCUGUCUAACUAAUCACAAUUUAACUUUAGAAGUAGCAACAAAUCUCUCACAAAGAUGCUACUUCUAACUAAUAUUUUCUUAUAAUUGGUGGCACGUGUAGGUUUUUUUAGAGUUAAGCAGUAUGCUCGUUUGUUACUCUGUAAUAACUCGGCUAUUACUGAUGGCACUGAAGUUGACUGGAUUAACAUCCACAAGUUCCUACACUUUAUUGAUCGUCUUGAGGUCCAUCGGAAGAGUACUGUACGUGGAGAGGCUGACAGCUGAGUCCACGGCAGCCGCAAGGAAGUCCCUCCUUAUUAUGCGGAAAAUAAUUAUUCCUCCACCAGACAGCAGGGACCCAUCGGAUGGGCCACUAGUAUAUCGCGAAAAAACAUUUCCCCCUGACUGUUGGGACCCACCAGACGGGCCACCGUAUUUCGCGAAAAAACGUUCCCCCCGCUGUCAGCUCGGACCCACCGGAAGUGCCUCCUUAUUACGCACAAAAAAAUGAAUACCCCCUGCUAGCUGGGACCCACCUUGGUGGGAGGCUGACUUGUGGGCCUACUAAGUUGACUGGGACGGAGGCCUUUGUCAACUUUAGUCAAUAUAUGAACGAUUCUAGCUCUAGUGACCGUACGAUGUCCAUCCAACGGCUGUAGUGCUUCUUCAACCUCUGGUCUUCUUGCUCUAGCCGCCGAAAGCAGCGCCGGUCGUGCCGCCUGCUCCUGCCGCCCGUGGCCGGCUGUGAUGCCGCGGAGGCACAUCCUCACAAAUACCGAUGAGUAUAGCAGUUGAUUUAUCGGCCAUUUGCAAAGAGAAAGGCAUGACACUAACACUGGCUCCAAGAUCACAUAAAGCAGUUUUAACGUAGUUUCUUUUAAUGGAGCAUGGUACGGUUGGUACUCCUGCAUCUCCAAGUUUCUUUGGUAUUCCACCCUUAAAAGUAUAAUUAGCAAGCAUGCUGGAAACUUCAGCUUCUGGUAUCUUUCUUUUAUUUGUAACAAUAUCUUUCAUAUACUUAACAUAAGGAUUCAUUUUAAGCAUAUCAGUCAGGCGCGUACGAAAAAGAUAGGUCUUAUCAUUCCAGCAAAGUGCUCAAAAUCCUCAUCAUCUUUUUUCUUGGAUGGUUUAGGAGGAAAAGGCAUGGGUGCUACCUCUUGAGCACUGCGUUGGUUUUCCCAUGAAGAGGAAAGGGUGAUGCAGCAAAGUAGCGUAAGUAUUUCCCUCAGUUUUUGAGAACCAAGAUAUCAAUCCAGUAGGAGGCUCCUCAAAAGUCCCUCGUACCUACACAAACAAACAAGAACCUCGCAACCAACGCAAUAAAGGGGUUGUCAAUCCCUUCACGGCAACUUGCAAAAGUGAGAUCUCAUAGAGAUAAUAAGAUAAGAUAAAUAUUUUUGGUAUUUUUACGAUAUAGAUUGGAAAGUAAAAGAUGCAAAUAAAAGUAGAUGGGAAACUUAUAUGAUAAAAGAUAGACCCGGGGGCCAUAGGUUUCACUAGUGGCUUCUCUCAAGAUAGCAUAAGUAUUACGGUGGGUGAACAAAUUACUAUCGAGCAAUUGAUAGAAAAUUGCAUAGUUAUGAGGUUAUCUAGGCAUGAUCAUGUAUAUAGGCAUCACGUCCGUAACAAUCAGAUUGAAACGAUUCUGCAUCUACUACUAUUACUCCACACAUCGACUGACUCCUGCCUGCAUCUAGAGUAUUAAGUUCAUAAGAACAGAGUAACACAUUAAGAAAGAUGACAUGAUGUAGAGGGAUAAACUCAAGCAAUAUGAUAUAAACCCCAUCUUUUUAUCCUCGAUGGCAACAAUACAAUACGUGCCUUGUUGCCCGUGCUGUCACUGGGAAAGGACACCGCAAGAUUGAACCCAAAGCUAAGCACUUCUCCCAUUGCAAGAAAGAUCAAUCUAGUAGGCCAAACCAAAUUGAUAAUUCGAAGAGACUUGCAAAGAAAACUAAUCACACAUAAAAGAAUUCAGAGCAGAUUCAAAUAUUUCUCAUAGAUAAACUUGAUCAUAAACCUACAAUUCAUCGGAUCUCGACAAACACACCGCAAAAAGAGUUACAUCGAAUAGAUCUCCAAGAAGAUCAAGGAGAACUUUGUACUGAGAUUCAAAGAGAGAGAAGAAGCCAUCUAGCUAAUAACUAUGGACCCGAAGGUCUAUGGUAAACUACUCACAACUCAUCGGAGAGGCCUUGGAGUGAUGUAGAGGCCCUCCGUGGUCGAUUCCACCUCUGGCGGAGCGCCAGCGAAGGCUCCAAGAUGAGAUCUCGCGGAUACAGAAGGUUGUGGUGGUGGAAAUAGUUUUUCGUGGUGCUCAUGGAUGUUCUCGGGGUACGUGGAUAUAUAUAGGAGGAAGAAGUAGGUCGGUGGAGCCAUGAGGGGCCCACGAGGGUGGGGGCGCGCCCACCCCCGUAGGGUGUGCCGGGCACCCUCAUGGCCGCCUCAUUGACUUCUUGACAUCCACUCCAAGUUUCCUGGAUUGUGUUUGUUCCAAAAAGAUCGCUCCCGGAGGUUUCAUUCCAUUUGGACUCUGUUUGAUAUUCCUUUUCUUUGAAAGACUGAAAUAGGCAAAAAAACAGCAAUUCGGGCUGGGCCUCCAGUUAGUAGGUUAGUCCCAAAAAUGAUAUAAAAGUGUAAAGUAAAGCCCAUAAACAUCCAAAACGGGUAAUAUAAUAGCAUGGUACAAUCAAAAAUUAUAGAUACGUUGGAGACGUAUCAAGCAUCCCCAAGCUUAAUUCCUGCUCGUCCUCGAGUAGGUAAAUGAUAAAAACAGAAUUUUUGAUGCGGAAUGCUACCUAGCAUAAUUCUCAAUGUAAUUUUAUUUAUUUUGGCAUGAAUUUUCAGAUCCAAAUGAUUCAAGACAAAAUUCAUAUUGACAUAAGAGAUAAUAAGACUUCAAGCAUACUAACAAGGCAAUCAUGUCUUCUCAAAAUAACAUGUCAAAAGAAAGUUCAUCCCUACAAAAUCAUAUAGUUAGGCUAUGUUUCAUUUUCAUCACACAAAAAUACUCCCAUCAAGCACAAGCCCAGUUUCAGCCAAGCAAUUGGUUCAUACUUUUUAACGCGCUUCAGCUUUUUUCAACUCUCACGCAAUACAUGAGCGUGAGCCAUGGAUAUAGCACUAUGGGUGGAAUAGAAUAUGAUGAUGGAGGUUGUGUGGAGAAGACAAAAAAGGAGAAAGUCUCACAUUGACGAGGCUAAUCAAUGGGCUAUGGAGAUGCCCAUCAAUUAAUGUCAAUAUGAGGAGUAGGGAUUGCCAUGCAACGGAUGCACUAGAGCUAUAAAUGUAUGAAAGCUCAACAAAAGAAACUAAGUGGGUGUGCAUCCAACUUGCUUGCUCACGAAGACCUAGGGCAUUUUGAGGAAGCCCAUCCUUGAAAUAUACAAGCCAAGUUCUAUAAUGAAAACUUCCCACUAGUAUAUGAAAGUGACAACAUAAAAGACUCUCUAUAUGAAGAACAUGGUGCUACUUUGAAGCACAAGUGUGGAAAAAGAUAGUAACAUUGUCCCCCCUUUUUUUGGGCCUUUUUUUAUUUGGCCUUUAUUUUUUAUUUCCUUUUUUAUUGGCCUUUCUUUUUUUGGGCCUUUUUUAUAAGGGACAAUGCUCUAAUAAUGAUGAUCAUCACACUUCUAUUUAUUUACAACUCAAGAAUUACAACUCGAUACUAGAACAAGAUAUGACACUAUAUGAAUGCCUCCAGCGGUGUACUGGGAUGGGCAAUGAAUCAAGAGUGACAUGUAUGAAAAAUUAUGCAUGGUGGCUUUGCCACAAAUACGAUGUCAACUACAUGAUCAUGCAAGGCAAUAUGACAAUGAUGAUGCGUGUCAUGAUAAACGGAACGGUGGAAAGUUGCAUGGCAAUAUAUCUCGGAAUGGCUAUGGAAAUGCCAUAAUAGGUAGGUAUGGUGGCUGUUUUGAGGAAGAUAUAAGGACCUUUAUGUGUGAUAGAGCGUAUCGUAUCACGGGGUUUGGAUGCACCGGCGAAGUUUGCACCAACUCUCAAGGUGAGAAAGGGCAAUGCACGGUACCGAAGAGGCUAGCAAUGAAGGAAAGGUAAGAGUGCGUAUAAUCUAUGGGCUCACAUUAGUCAUAAAGAACUCAUAUACUUAUUGCAGAAGUUUUAUUAGCCCUUGAAGUAAAGUACUACUACGCAUGCUCCUAGGGGAAGGGUUGGUAGGAUUUAACCAUCGUGCGAUCCCGACCUCCACACAUAAGGAAGGCAAUCAAAAGAGCACCUCAUGCAAUAAAUUUGUUACACAACCUUUACCAGACGUACAUGCUACGGGACUUGCCAACUUCAACAAAAGUAUUCUUUAAAUUCACAAUUACCCAACUAGCAUGACUCUAAUAUUACCACCUUUGUAUCUCAAAACAAUUAUCAAGCAUCAAAUUGAUCAUAGCAUCCAAUUCACUUCCUAUGAUAGUUUUUAUAAUACCCAACUUGGAUGCCCAUCAUUCCAGGACCAAUUUUAUAACCAUAGCAAAUACCAUGCUGUUAUAAAAGACUCUCAAAUUAAUAUAAGUGAAUCAUGAGAGAUCAACAAUUUCUAUAAAAUCAAACCACCGCCAUGCUCUAAAAAUUAUAAGUGAAGUACUAGAGCAAAAUUAUCUAGCUCAAAAGAUAUAAGUGAAGCACAUAGAGUAUUCUAAUAAAUUCCAAAUCAUGUGUGUCUCUCCCAAAAGGUGUGUACAUAAAGGAUGACUAUGGUAAACUAAAAAUCAAAGACUCUUAUCAUACAAGAUGCUCCAAGCAAAACACAUAUCAUGUGAUGAAUAAAAAUAUAGAUCCAAGUAAAGUUACCGAUAGACGAAGACGAAAGAGGGGAUGCCUUCCGGGGCAUCCCCAAGCUUAAGAUUUUGGUUGUCCUUGGAUUAUGUUGGGGUUCCAUGGGCACCCCCAAGAUUAGGCUCUUUCCACUCCUUAUCCCAUAGUCCAUCAAAUCCUUACCCAAAACUAGAAAACUUCACAACACAAAACUCAACAGGAAAUCGCAUAAGCUCCGUUAGUGCAAGAAAGAAAAACCACCACAUAAGGUAAUGUGAUGAACUCAUUCUUUAUUUACAUUUCUGUUAAACCUACUCUAUUCCAACUUCUCUAUGGUUCAUACCCCCCGAUACUAGCCAUAGAUGCAUCAAAAUAGGCAAACAACACACGAAAAACAGAAUCUGUCAAAAACAGAACAGUGUGUAGAAAUCUGUAACUUUUGAAUACUUAUGGAACUAUAAACUCCUACCAAAAUAGGAAGUCCUGUGAAAUUUGCAUAUUCAUCUACUUCAAAAAGAAUCAAAGCCAUAUCACGUUUCGGUGAUUUAUUAAAAUUAUUCUUGUGCAUGCAAAAGUUUCUGUUUUUCAGCAGAAUCAAAUUAACUAUCACCAUAGGUUAUCCUAUAGGUUCUACUUGGCACAAAUACUAAUUAAAACAUAAAACCACAUCUAAACAGAAGCUAUAUGAAUUAUUUAUUACCAAACAUAAGAAAAAAGCAAGGAACAAAAAUAAAAUUGGGUUGCCUCCCAACAAGCACUAUCGUUUAACGCCUCGAGCUAGGCAUAAAAGCGAGAAUAGAUUUAAGCAUCGCUAUCUUUGGCAUUCAAUUCAUAAGUGGCUCACAUAAUAGAUUCAUAAGGUAAUUUGAAUUUCUUUCUAGGGAAGUGUUCCAUGCCUUUCCUUCAUGGAAAUUGGAAUCUAAUAUUCCCUUCCUUCAUAUCAAUAAUUGCACCAAUCGUUCUAAGGAAAGGUCUACCAAGAAUAAUAGGACAAGAAAGAUUGCAAUCUAUAUCAAGAACGAUAAAAUUAAGGGCACAUAAUUCCUAUUUGCAACAAUAAGAACAUAGUUAAUCCUUCCCGUAGGUUUAUUAAUAGUGGAAUCCGCAAGGUGCAAGCUUAAAGAGGAAUCAUCAAAUUCAUGGAAACCUAGCACAUCACAUAAAGUUUUCGGAAUCAUGGAAACACUAGCACCCAAAUCACACAAAGCAUAGCAUUCAUGAUCUUUAAUUUUAAUUUUAAUAGUAGGUUCCCACUCAUCAUAAAGUUUUCUAGGGAAACUACCAACUCAAGUUUUUCUUCAUAAGAUUGCAUCAAGGCAUCAACAAUAUGUUUGGUAAAAGCUUUAUUUUGACUAUAAGCAUGAGGAGAAUUCAACACGGAUUGCAACAAGGAAAUACAAUCUAUUAAAGAACAAUUAUCAUAAUUAAAUUCCUUGGAAUCCAUAAUAGUGGGUUCAUUGCUAUGUAAAGUUUUGACCUCUCCAAUCCCACUUUUACCAAAUUUAGCAUCAAGAUCUAAAAACUCCGAAUCAUUGGGACGCCUUUUAACUAAAGUUGACUCAUAUUGAGUCCCAUCAUUAUCAAGAUUUAUAUUGCAAAACAAAGUUUAAUAGGGGACACAUCAAUAACUUUUAGAUCUUCAUCAUUAUUUUCAUCGAAACUAGAAGAACACGCUCUUACAAAGCAAUCUUUCUUAGCACGCAUCCUAGUGGUUCUUUCUUUGCACUCAUCAAUGGAAAUUCUCAUGGCUUUGAGAGACUCAUUGAUAUCAUGCUUAGGUGGAAUAGAUCUAAGUUUCAAAGAAUCAACAUCAAGAGAAAGUCUAUCAAUGUUUCUAGCCAAUUCAUCAACUUUAAGCAAUUUUUCUUCAAGCAAAGCAUUGAAAUUCUUUUGAGAGAUCAUAAAUUCUUUAACACUAUUCUCAAAAUCUGAGUUGUUGUAGGAAUUACCAUAAUUAUUAGAGGAAUUACUAGGAAACGGCCUAGGAUUGAAGUUUCCUUUAUACGCGUUGUUACCAAAACUAUUCCUACCAAAAAAAUUCACAUCCAUAGAUACAUUAUUAUUCUCAAUCAAAGUAGACAAAGGCAUAUCAUUGGGAUCAAUAGGAGCACUCUUACUAGCAAAUAAUUUCAUAAGUUCAUCCAUCUUUCCACUCAAAACAUUAAUCUCUUCUAUUGCAUGAACUUUUUUACUAGUAGAUCUUUCGGUGUGCCCUUGAGAAUAAUUAACCAUAAUAUUAUCAAGGAGUUUAGUAGCUUCUCCUAAAAUGAUUUUCAUAAAAGUGCCUCCCGCGGCCAAAUCUAAAAGAUUUCUAGAAGCAAAAUUCAAUCCGGCAUAAAUAUUUUGUAUGAUCAUCCAUAAAUUCAAACCAUGUGUAGGACAAUUACGAAUCAUUAAUUUCAUUCUUUCCCAAGAUUGGGCAACAUGCUCAUGAUCCAGUUGUUUAAAAUUCAUAAUAUAGUUUCUAAGAGAGAUAACCUUAGUGGGAGGAAAAUACUUAGAGAUAAAAGCAUCUUUGCACUUAUUCCAUGAAUCAAUACUAUUGUUAGGCAAAGACGAAAACCAAGUUUUAGCAUGAUCUCUAAGUGAAAAUGGAAAUAACUUCAAUUUAACAAUAUCAUUAUCCGUAUAUUUCUUCUUUUGCAUAUCACACAAAUCAACAAAGUUGUUUAGAUGAGUAGCGACAUCUUCACUAGGAAGGGCGGAGAAUUGAUCUUUCAUAACAAGAUUCAACAAAGCAGCAUUGAUUUCACAAGAUCCAGCAUCAUUAAGAGGAGCAAUCGGAGUGCUAAGGAAAUCAUUAUUGUUGGUAUUGGAAAAGUCACACAAUUUGGUAUUAUCUUGUGCCAUCGUAACAAGCAAUCCAACACAAAAGCACGCAAGAGGCGAGCGAAAAAGAGAGGUGAACAGGACAGAGAGGGCGAAUAAAACGGCAAGGGUGAAGUGGGGGAGAGGAAAAUGAGAGGCAAAUGGCAAAUAAUGUAAUGCGAGGGAGAUGAGUUUGUGAUGGGUACUUUAUACGACUUGACUUGAGUGAAGACCUCCUCGGCAAUGGCACCAGAAAUCCUUCUUGCUAACUCUUGAGCACUGCGUUGGUUUUCCCUUGAAGAGGAAAGGGUGAUGCAGUAAAGUAGCAUAAGUAUUUCACUCAGUUUUUGAGAACCAAGGUAUCAAUCCAGUAUGAGGCUCCUCAAAAGUCCCUCGUACCUACACAAACAAACAAGAACCUUGCAACCAAGGCAAUAAAGGGGUUGUCAAUCCCUUCACGGUAACUUGCGAAAGUGAGAUCUGAUAGAGAUAGUAAGAUAAGAUAAAUAUUUUUGGUAUUUUUAUGAUAUAGAUUGGAAAGUAAAAGAUGCAAAUAAAAGUAGAUGGGAAACUUAUAUGAUAAAAGAUAGACCCGGGGGCGAUAGACUUCACUAGUGGCUUCUCUCAAGAUAGCAUAAGUAUUACGGUGGGUGAAUAAAUUACUGUCGAGCAAUUGAUAGAAAACGCAUAGUUAUGAGAUUAUCAAGGUAUGAUCAUGUAUAUAGGCAUCACGUCCGCAACAAGUAGAUCGAAACGAUCCUGCAUCUACUACUAUUACUCCACACAUCGACCGACUCCUGCCUGUAUCUAGAGUAUUAAGUUCAUAAGAACAGAGUAAUGCAUUAAGAAAGAUGACAUGAUGUAGAGGGAUAAACUCAAGCAAUAUGAUAUAAAUCCCAUCUUUUUAUCCUCGAUGACAACAAAUACAAUACGUGCCUUGCUGCCCCUACUGUCACUGGGAAAGGACACCGCAAGAUUGAACCCAAAGCUAAGCACUUCUCCCAUUGCAAGAAAGAUCAAUCUAGCAGGCCAAACCAAACUGAUAAUUCAAAGAGACUUGCAAAGAUAACUAAUCACACAUAAAAUAAUUCUGAGGAGAUUCAAAUAUUUCGCAUAGAUAAACUUGAUCAUAAACCCACAAUUCAUCGGAUCUCGACAAACACACCGCAAAAAGAGUUACAUCGAAUAGAUCUCCAAGAAGAUCGAGGAGAACUUUGUAUUGGGAUUCAAAGAGAGAGAAUAAGCCAUCUAGCUAAUAACUAUGGACCCGAAGGUCUGUGUUAAACUACUCACAACUCAUCGGAGAUGCCUUGGACAUGAUGUAGAGGCCCUCCAUGGUCGAUUCCCCCUCCUGCGGAGCGCUGGCGAAGGCUCCAAGAUGGGAUCUCGCGGAUACAAAAGGUUACGGUGGUGGAAAUAGUUUUUCGUGGUGCUCCUGGAUGUUCUCGGGGUACGUGGAUAUAUAUAGGAGGAAGAAGUAGGUCGGUGGAGCUAUGAGGGGCCUACGAGGGUGGGGGCGCGCCCACACCCCUAGGGCGCGCCGGGCACCCUCGUUGCCGCCUCAUUGACUUCUUGACGUCCACUCCAAGUUUCAUGGAUUGCGUUUGUUCCAAAAAGAUCGCUCCCGAAGGUUUAAUUCCGUUUGGACUCCGUUUGAUAUUCCUUUUCUUCAAAACACUGAAAUAGGCAAAAAACAGCAAUUCGGGCUGGGCCUCAGGUUAGUAGGUUAGUUCCAAAAAUGAUAUAAAAGUGUAAAGUAAAGCCCAUAAACAUCCGAAACGGGUAAUAUAAUAGCAUGAAACAAUCAAAAAUUAUAGAUACGUUGAAGACGUAUCAAUGGGUUUCUGAACCCAUGGUUCUCUUUCUUUACUGUGCUUCCUAGCAACGGAGUCUCUCUUAUCAUAACGUUGAUUCUUUGAUUGUGGUUUAUCAAGAUCAACAGUAGGUUCAAUCUCUACAUCGCUGUUAUUACUAGGUUGAGCAUCAACAUGAACAUCAUCAUUAACAUUAUCACUAGGUUCAUGUUCAUUACCAGAUUGUGUUUCAGCAUCAGAAAUAGAAAUAUCAUUGGGAUUCUUAGGUGUGUCAACAACAGGUUCACUAGAAGUAUGCAAAGUCCUAUCAUCUUUCUUUUUCUUUUUCUUAGAAGGACUAGGUGCAUCAACAUUAGUCUCUAAGAAUCGUGCUCAACUCUCUUAGGAUGGCCCUCAGGAUACAAAGGUUCUUGGGUCACUUUACCACCUCUAGUCAUAACUCUAAUAGCAUUAUCAUUAUUCUUAUUAUUUAACUCAUUGAGCAAAUCAUCUUGUGCCUUAAGUACUUGUUCUACUUGAGUUCUAACCAUGGAAGCAUGUUUACUAAUAAGCUUAAGAUCACUUUUAACUCUAUACAUAUAAUCACUCAAGUGUUCAACCAUAUAAGCAUUGUGUUUCAAUUGUCUACCAACAUAAGCAUUGAAGUUUUCUUGUUUAACAAUGAAAUUAUCAAACUCAUCCAAGCAUUGACUAGAAGACUCAUUAUGAGGAAUAUCACCUUCAUCAAAUCUAUAGAGAGAAUUUACCUUUACUACUUGUGUCGGGUUAUCAAGACCAUGUAUCUCUUCAAUAGGCGGUAAAUUCUUAACAUCUUCAGCUUUAGUACCUUUUUCUUUCAUAGAUUUAUUUGCCUCUUGCAUAUCUGCAGGACUGAGAAAUAGAAUACCCCUUUUCUUUGGAGUUGGCUUAGGAGUUGGUUUAGGAAGUGUCCAGUCAUUAUCAUUACUCAAUAUAUUAUUCAAUAGCAAUUCAGCUUGCUCAACAGUUCUUUCCCUGAAAACACAACCAGCACAACUAUCCGGGUGGUCUCUGGAAGCAUUGGUUAGUCCAUUAUAAAAGAUAUCAAGUAUUUCGUUUUUCUUGAGAGGAUGAUCAGGCAAAGCAUUAAGUAAUCGGAGAAGCCUCCCCCAAGCUUGUGGGAGACUCUCUUCUUCAAUUUGCACAAAGUUAAAUAUUUCCCUUAAGGCAGCUUGUUUCUUAUGAGCGGGGAAAUAUUUUGCAGAGAAGUAAUAAAUCAUAUCAUGGGGACUACGCACACAACUAGGAGCAAGAGAACUAAACCAUAUUUUAGCAUAACCCUUUAAUGAGAAAGGAAACAAUUUAAGAAUAUAGCAAUAGCGAAAAAAAUUCUCAUGAUUGAAUAGGGUGGCUAUAUCAUUCAAUUUAGUAAGAUGUGCCACAACAGUUUCAGAUUCAUAGCCAUAGAAAGGAUCGGAUUAAACCAAAAUAAUUAACUCGGGAUCGAUGGAGAAUUCAUAAUCCUUAUCAGUAACACAAAUAGAUGAAGUAGCAAAAGCAGGGUCAUAUUGCAUUCUAGCAUUCAAAGACUUUUCUUCCAGCUUAGCUAAUAGUUUCUUAAGAUCAUAUCUAUCAUUGCAAGCGAGAAAGUGUCUAGCUGUUUCUUCAUCCAUAAAAUAACCCUCAGGUACAACAGGCAAUUCAUAUCUAGGGGGAGAAUCUUCAUCAUCACUUUCAUUAAUAUCUUCAGUUUCAGUAAUUUCAUUCUCUCUAACCCUAGCAAGUUGUUCAUCCAGAAAUUCACCUAAUGGCACAUUAUUAUCAAGCGGAGAAGUAGUAUCAUCAUAAGAUUCAUGCAUAGAAGAAGUGGCAUCAUCAAUGACAUGCGACAUAUCAGAAUCAAUAGCAGGUGUAGGCGUUGCAAGUUUUCUCAAAACACAAGGUGAAUCAAGUGCGGAGCUAGAUGGCAAUUCCUUACCUCCCCUCGUUGUUGAGGGAAAAAUCUUGGUUCUUUGAUCUAGCAAAUUCCUCAUAGUGAUGAACAGAUAUAAAUCCCAAGUGACUCAAAGAAUAGAUCUAUGCUCCCCGGCAACAGCGCCAGAAAAGGGUCUUGAUAACCCACAAGUAUAUGGGAUCGCAACCAUUUUCGACGGUACAAUAUUCAACCCAAAUUUAUUGAUUCGGCACAAGGGGAGCCAAAGAAUAUUCUCAAGUAUUAGCAACUGUCGGAUUUCGGGUUCCGGUGGACCCUCAAGGUUCGAACACUGGGGUUUGCACGGAGAUCACACCUCUAGCCUACCCAUGUCUCACCGCCUCGCCGGGAUCUAAAACUAGACGAAGAACAACAUAAGGGACACGAGGUUUAUACUGGUUCAGGCCACCGUUGUGGUGUAAUACCCUACUCCAGUGUGUGGUGUGGUGGAUUGCCUCUGGGCUGAUGAUGAACAAUACAAGGAAGAACUGCCUCGUGAGGGGAGGAGUUCUUGUGGUGGUGCUGGCUAAGGUUCUUCUCUCUGGUUGAUCCCUAGAUCCGAUCUCCCCGUCUCCAUCCUAGGGGUGGCUAGUCCUAUUUAUAGCGGGAAGGGUGCCAACAAUUAGCCAUUUUGAAGGGGAACAUCUAGUACACUUAUCCUGACUAAAGUGGGUCCUCGCCUGCCAAAGGCCCUGACGAUGACGCUGGCUUGGGCUCCACGAUGACCUUCGUACUGCCGUCCUGCUGGUCUUGGUCUCGUUGCACCGAAAUAGUUGCCUUUGCUUGAUUCCCUCGCCUGCGCUUGCCCGCCUUUGCACCAAAGAGGAAACAAGGACUCUGCGCAGGCUGGCGCCCUCCUGGCACCCACCUGGCCUUGGUCGUCAUGGCUUGCGUCACGGGCACCUCGUGAGGUACCCCGCCUUGAUCUCUCCGCCUCCUCACGAGCCAGCCCGAUGAGGCCGUGCCUGAGGAAGCCUGCUGUCGUCCGCCCCGCGAGGCUUGGCCCCUCGCGAGGGUCUUAAGCAUGUGUUGAUGAAGAUGGGCCGUACUGGGCCACUCCUUGAGCCACGCCACAGGCCGCAGGCAGGCAAAUCUGGGUACCCCCAUUCCCAGAACGCCGACAGCAGCUGAGUUGUCAAUUCAACUGCACCUGAAAGACUUAAUAUCUGCAGCAAAGUUUUUAUUAGCAAAGUAGUAUGGAAGUAAAGGUGAUGGUGGCAAAAGUAACAGUAGCAGUUUUGUAGCAAUCGUAACAGUGGUAACAAAGAAGUAACUAAGCAAAGAUCAGUAUGUGAAAAGCUCGUAGGCAAUGGAUCAAUGAUGGAUAAUUAUGUUGGAUGUAAUUCAUCAUGCAACAGUUAUAACAUAGGGUGACACGGAACUAGCUCCAGUUCAUCAAUGUAAUGUAGGCAUGUAUUCCGAAUAUAGUCAUGCGUGCUUAUGGAAAAGAACUUGCAUGACAUCUUUUGUCCUACCCUCCCGUGGCAGCGGGGUCCUAAUGGAAACUAAUGGAUAUUAAGGCCUCCUUUUAAUAGAGUAACGGACCAAAGCAUUAGCACUUGGUGAAUACAUGAACUCCUCAAACUACGGUCAUCACCGGGAAGUGUCCCGACUAUUGUCACUCCGGGGUUUGCCGGAUCAUAACACGUAGUAGGUGACUAAAACUUGCAAGAUAGGAUCAAGAACUCUCAUAUAUUCAUGAAAACAUAAUAGGUUCAGAUCUGAAAUCAUGGCACUCGGGCCCUAGUGUCAAGCAUUAAGCAUGGCAAAGUCAUAGCAACAUCAAUCUUAGAACAUAAUGGAUACUAGGGAUCAAACCCUAACAAAACUAACUCGAUUACAUGAUAAAUCUCAUCCAACCCAUCAACGUCCAACAAGCCUAUGAUGGGAUUACUCGCGCACAACAGUGAGCAUCAUGAAAUUGGUGAUGGAGGAUGGUUGAUGAUGAUGAUGGCGACGGAUUCCCCUCUCCAGAGCCCUGAACGGACUCCAGAUCAGCCCUCCCGAGGAAGAACACGGCUUGGCGGCGUCUCCGUAUCGUAAAUCGCGAUGAAUCCUUCACUAUGAUUUUUUUUCUCCCUGAACAUGAAUAUAUAGAGUUGGAGUUGAGGUCGGGGGAGGUCCAGGGGACCCAUGAGGCAGGGGCGCGGCCUCCACCCUCGUGGACAGGGUGUGGGCCCCCUUCUGUUGAUUCUUUUGCAAAUAUUCUUUAUUAAUUCCAAAACCCGACUCCUUGGAAAUUCAGGUCAUUCCGAGAACUUUUAUUUCUGCACAAAAAUAACACCAUGGCAAUUCUGCUGAAAACAGCGUCAAUCCGGGUUAAUUCCACUCAAAUCUAGCAAGGUAUUUUUGUAUUUUUUGUUUAACAGAUCUGAAAAUAAAUGCAAGGGAAAAUAUACCACGAGGGCAAAUAUGAUGAAAAGAGGCCCGGCGGCCGUAGGUUUCACUAGUGGCUUCUCUCUAGAAAAAUAGCAAACGGUGGGAAACCAAUUACUAUUGGGCAAUUGAUAGAACUUCAAAUAAUCAUGACGAUAUCCAGGCAAUGAUCAUUAUAUAGGCAUCACGUCCAACAUUAGUAGACCUACUCCUUCCUGCAUCUACUACUAUUACUCCACACAUCGACCGCUAUCUAGCAUGCAUCUAGUGUAUUAAGUUCAUGAGAAAACGGAGUAAUGCAAUAAGAACGAUGACAUGAUGUAGACGAGAUCCGUUUAUCUAUUGCGGCAGAUAUAGAUCUCAUCUUGUUAUCCUUAGUAGCAACAAUACGUGCGUGUCGGUUCCCCUUCUAUCACUGGGAUCAAGCACCGUAAGAUCAAACCCACUACAAAGCACCUCUUCCCAUUGCAAGAUAAAUAGAUCAAGUUGGCCAAACAUAACCCAAAUAUCGGAGAAGAAAUACGAGGCUAUAAGCAAUCAUGCAUAAAAGAUAUCAAAGAAGACUCAAAUAACUUUCAUGGAUAAAUACAUAGAUCUAAUCAUAAACUCAAAGUUCAUCGGAUCCCAACAAACACACCGCAAAAAGACUUACAUCAUAUGGAUCUCCAAGAGACCAUUGUAUUGAUAAUCAAGAGAGAGAGAGAGAGAGGAAGCCAUCUAGCUACUAACUAUGGACCCGUAGGUCUACAAAGAACUACUCGCGCAUCAUCGGAGAGGCACCAAUGGAAGUGGUGAACCCCUCCAUGACGGUGUCUAGAUUGGAUCUGGUGGUUCUGGACUUUGUAGUGGCUGGAAUUGAUUUUCGUUGACUCCCCUAGUGUUUCUAUAAUAUUGGGGUAUUUAUAGAGCAAAGAGGCAGUUCGGGGAGCACCCGAGGUGGGCACAACCUACCAGGGCGCGCCUAGGCCUCCUGGCGCACCCUGGUGGAUGCUGCUCCCCUCGAGCCACCCCCAGGUGCUUCCUUGGCCCACUGGAUGUCUUUUGGCGCAAAAGAUCCUCCAGGAGUUUUGUUGCGUUUGGACUCCGUUUGAUAUUGAUUUCCUGCGAUGUAAAAAACAUGUAGAAAAUAGCAACUGGCACAGGGCACUAGGCACUAUGUCGAUAGGUUAGUACCAAAAAAUGAUAUAAAAUGACUAUGAAAUGAUUGUAAAACAUCCAAAAAUGAUAAUAUAACAGCAUGGAACAAUAAAAAAUUAUAGAUAUAUUGGAGACGUAUCAUACCCCACCUUGUAUUUUCGGUUUAAACAUGCCUCUUCCGCUUAGCAUCUGUCAUGUUUUGGGGUGGACAAUUUGAUACUAUCAUGUUUUGCCUUGGACAAUUUCGUACUGAAUUGAUUUGUUGGUACAGAGCGGAAAUAUAGUGCCUAUUCUUCAUCAAACCAAGGAUAUCCAUGUUUGCAGUGAUGGAAGAGGUGAAAUUGAUACAACUGAAAUUGAGCAUCCAAUCAUUGAAUCAUGUCCUGCACCUCCAAUGUAGGUCCACCUUGCCAAUAAAUUCACAUGCAAACCACUAAUAUUACUAUCUAAUGACAGUACAAAAAGAGUAGCGAGAUAGUAGCAAACCAUGUACCUUCGUAAUAAACAGCUCAUAGUGCCACCAAUUGGAUAUAAAGGUUUGGAAGAAAACAUGGUCCUAAUGUUGAACCAUUUGGGCUUUUUGUGCAGUUCCACUAAAAUCGAGCAUCCAUGUUUGCAUAGAUAUUGAAAGUGUGUUACUAUAAAAGUGGCACUAGUUGAAGCAUAGACUCACAAAUAUAAGCAUUCCAAUUUCUUAAUGGGAAAGGGUAGCAAGACUGUUUCUAACCACCUGUUUGAAAGGAAUAAAUAAGUCAACAUCAGCCGAUGUCAGGAAGGCAUACAUAGUUUUUAAUUAAAAAUUGAACCAUUCCUGACCUUUCCUCUUCUUUUAAGCAUAUUUUGUGCAGUUCAACUAAAAUAAAAUGCCACCACCGCCUUGACAAUUUAGUGACACUGUACAAAAAGAAAUGACUUAACAUUACAUCAUGAUGUCAGGUAUGUAAUCUACAGGCAUUAGAGACAAACAUACAGACCUCCUCCGAACAUUAAUUUUAACAAAGGUGUGACUAGCUUUACCAGGAUAAUUUGAGUGAACUCUACAACCUCUAUUCCUUAAUAUAAGACGUUUAUGCAGUUCAAUUUAAAGUACCCAAGCGUCUAGUAUUUAGAAAACAGAUAGUAGUUUUCUUGAGCACAUAUCUGGGAAAGCUUGCCACACUUUAUAUAUGUCCAUACGCUAAUGCAACACCAUUCGAAUAGUACAAAUAUACACUAAUCUAGUGGCUUGUGCAACAUAGAGUAGUUUUUUAUUACGGGGUACAAUACAAUGGUUUUACUGAACAGAUUUCCAUAAGCUAGCACUGGAAGAUUUCUAUAAGCAUUUAGAAUACAAAAUGUAAAGGUAACAAGUUUCAGCAUUGGUACACGAGCUGUGCAACAUCAUUAAACCAAAUACAAAAGUGUGAAGGUAACUAGCAUUAUUAACUAAUGACAGUAUAAAAAAUGUGAACCAUGUACCUUCAAGGUAAAUAUCAUUUCAAACUCGAGGGGACUUGAAAAAUUUCUAUCCCAAUCUUGAUAAUCAAUCAAACAUAAAAACUUGAUCGAACGGAUCAAGAGAACAGCCGGAGGAGGAGGUGCCCACUCUUGAACUUUUCUAUUCUCUUUGUAAUUUUUUGUGCAGUUUAACCAAAAUAAAAUGACAUGAGCGCCCUGGCAUUUUGGUGACACAGUAAAAAAAUUGACUUAUCUCAUGAAAGUGGGGUAUGUAAUCUAUAAGAAUUAACAGUGCAAAAAUCUGAAGGUAGUAACAAGUUCCAUAGUUGGUAUACUAGCUGUGCAACAGCAUUAGAAUGCCUUAGCUGGAAAAUCUUCAAUACAUCCACAAUCAACAGCUAACCUUGAAAUAAUCCAGUGACACUAAAUGGCAUUGCUUAAAUUUAUCGGUGGCAUCAGACUGAGUGCAACAUUAGUUAAAUGUGGCACCACUUUAGCAGUAGCAUUGCUUGACUUUACCGCUGGCGUUAUACUAACAGCAAAAAAGUGGCAAUAAGAGCAUGGGAGGCCCUUUCGGACAGUGGGUGCACCAGUAUGAUGUACCUCCACGGACGCAUAGAGUGGUGCCCAGAGCAACAAAUAUCCAGGCAACAUAUGUGGAUUACGUCCCAUUUUUGUUCUCUUUAGCCACCUAUUUCCUAUGUGAGGACAACAAACUGAUCGACUUGGUCAUUCUCUAUUGCGUUGUCAUGCCUUUCUACCCUUUUUCACCCUUUUUCAACAAAGAGACACGAGACUCGUUCCUUACUAUAGAUUUUUUUCCUUUUCAUCCUAGAUGCGGGUUCGAUGCCGAGUCUCUUCGACAGUAUUUUCUCCUUUCCUUUCCUUAUACAACCCAUACAUGGAUUAGUCUGCAUGAAGUAGAGUUUCCUUUAAAAGUGAAAAUUAAGAUUUGCGUCUACGUGACCAGCAGAGUAGAGGAUAGCAAAACAGUAACAGCAAGUACCCUACUUAACAAGCUUGAUUCACUCACCACAAAUCAUUGCAUGACAAGAUAAGCAUAGCAUCAUCAAGAAGACAUAUUUUUGAAACUAACCAAGGCAAGAACAAGUUCAUAGCAUGCAAGGAUCAACUACAACAACCUUGGCAAAAUUGAAUAACAUGUAAACAAUCUGCCAGGAAACAUUUUAUAGCACAAGUAGACCAAGAAAAUGACAUGCUAUAGUACUCCAUAAUUGCAAGCAGGGGCAUGAAUGGAUAGAUCAUAACCAUAUGUUCAAAACAUCCUUACUGAAGUAUCUCAAACUAUGCAUGGAUCUCUCUGUAGCAUCAAGUUUACAUGGCAUCAAAGUAACAGCGGAACCGGGACUAAAAUCAACAACAUCACGAAGCCUAGUUUGCAUGCUUGUUCUAGUCACCACAUUGACCACAAAAAUACAUGGCAUACACCCCUGUAAAGAUGUCAUGAUGUAGCACAAAACACAUGUAGACAUCAACCUCAUAGGGUGCACACAUCAAAUGCAACAAAAAUAACAAAUCAUCAAGUUCUGUUAACAGGCAGCAGUAAACAUCAUAUAACACUCUUACAACGAUGAUUCAGGCAUCAAGAUGAUCUCAAACAAGCAUGACACAAUGGAAUGACAUGAAGAGGAUCUCUCAAUGAACAUUUUGACAUAUUACAGGCAUGAAACGGAGCAGUAUGCAGCAAGUUAUGAUGCGAUGAACAAGAGCUAAAAAUACGCAAAAAUUCAGGGACUUAGGGAAAAUUCGGGGUCAACCUAUUUGACCGGAUCUGGAUCGGGCAUGGACGACGAGGAUCGCCGGGGGAUGGGCUGCGCGGUGGCCGGAGAAGAAGAGAGAGGCGCUGGCAGGGGGGGGGGUCACCGGAUUCGGCCAUGGCGCUGCCGGAGGAGNNNNNNNNNNNNNNNNNNNNNNNNNNNNNNNNNNNNNNNNNNNNNNNNNNNNNNNNNNNNNNNNNNNNNNNNNNNNNNNNNNNNNNNNNNNNNNNNNNNNNNNNNNNNNNNNNNNNNNNNNNNNNNNNNNNNNNNNNNNNNNNNNNNNNNNNNNNNNNNNNNNNNNNNNNNNNNNNNNNNNNNNNNNNNNNNNNNNNNNNNNNNNNNNNNNNNNNNNNNNNNNNNNNNNNNNNNNNNNNNNNNNNNNNNNNNNNNNNNNNNNNNNNNNNNNNNNNNNNNNNNNNNNNNNNNNNNNNNNNNNNNNNNNNNNNNNNNNNNNNNNNNNNGAUUGGAUGGGCGCGACGGUGGCGGACAUGUCCGGCUAGGGACGGACGCGUCCGGCGGCGGAGAGGGAAAAAGCUAGGGUUUCAGGGGGAGAAUUCAUCCACGAAUUUCGGGGGAGGGGCAUAUUUAUAGUUUCUGGGAGCUAGGAGAGUCCAAAUGGAGCACGGUUUUCGGCCACGCGAUUGUGAUCGAACGGCGGAGAGCAUGGAGGGGGUUUGGAUGGGUUUUGGGCCACUUUGGAAGGGGUGUUGGGCUGCAAGACAAAAGGGGCUUUUACGGUUACCCGGUUAACCGUUGGAGUACCAAACGACCUCCAAAUGGCACGAAACUUGAUAGGCGGUCUACCGGUGCUAUACCAAGGCCGCAUGGCAAGACUCGGUCCAUUCCGAGAAAGUUUAACACCCGCUCACGAAGAGAGGCAUGAAGGGGACGCCGGAGGAGAUAGGAGUGCCGGAUUGCAAAACGGACAACGGGGAAAAAGCUCGGAUGCACGAGACGAACACGUAUGCAAAAUGAAAUGCACAUGAUGACAUGGAAAUAUGCAACACGCAAGCAAAUGACAUGGCUACGACGGCGAAUAACUGGCAGACACCUGGCGCAUCGAAUCCGGGGAGUUACAACACUCCUCCACUAACAAGAGAUCUCGUCCCGAGAUCUUAGGACCGAGACGGAAGGGAAAAAGGAAGAGGUGAAACAAGAACUCAAAGAAGAAGCAAGUAAUCGAGAGCACUCGAGAAGAAGAGAGAAACGACGAGAAUGACGAGAAUCGAAAGCUCACGGAAUCAGAUAGACUAUGACACCACUCCGGUUAGAACAAUAUAAGAAGCGAAUAAGACUGAAAGGAUUUAGGCAAAACUCCGACUGAACAUGGAAAGAAUAGAACAUGAACUUCGCAAGAUGGGAUGGCACUUGACGACAUAAGCGACGCAAUGCCUCCGGAAGAAUUGAAAGAAUAGAAUAAAAAGAACUUAUAAGGAAGGAUUGAACGUAAUUGUUGAGGAAAUCAACAACGAGAGAAUAAGCUUGUUGUGGACUUAUGGAUAACAUCUCAGAAAUUAUGAGGUGAUAACCGACCACAAACGAAAUAGAUUGAAUAACUGAGAAGACCGAAGAAAUGCAAAACUCCACUUCAAAAGAAUACGAAGAAUUAAUUGCAGUUCGAGACGCGAGAAGAAAAGAUACUUGAACUCCACCAACAAGAAUCUUGAUGAACUCUUGAAAGAAUGAAUUAAAUCAAGAAAAGCCACCAUGAAGAACUCCGGUAACGAAAGGAUGACGAGAUAAAAUUGAAGGAUGAAAGAAUAAGAUUAAAGGCUUGCGAUGAUUAGAUGGAGGUUCUGACGAAAUGGCUGUGGAAAUUUGAACUCCGGGAAAAGAAAAGACGAAAAGACUUGGAACUAGAAUUUAUUCAUCAAGAACAAACUCCGAAGAAAAGGGAUUACUCACUUGGAUGAAAUAAGAUAAGAUUUAUUGUAUGCUUAUCCUUCAUCAAAUUAAAUUGAUGAGAAGCAAUGGAUUUUUGCAUACUACUUAUUCUUCUUGAAAAGGAUUAAGGGAGGUAUAGCACAAAAUUUGAGAAAGUCUUCAUGAACCACCGGUAGGAUUGGAAAGAAUGAAUGAAUUAAUAUGAUAAACAAGGAAAAGAAUCUUGAACGAACCACCGUUAGAAUUCGAAAAUGACUGGUGAAAGAGAAUGAAUCGCCGGGUAGAAUUAGAAGAACAGAUAUGCCUGAGGGGAUUUAGAUGCAAAAGAACAAAGAUAUAAUGAGCUGAUUAAAGAACACUAGAACGAAGCACCGGGAUAAUUGGAUAACGGUAGCUGAAAUGUGAGGACGAAGAAUUCUUCUGGAAUGAUGGCCUCCGGUGAAAAGAAACGGGAAAACAAUUUCUGACAUACUCCGGAUGGUUAAGAAAAGGCUAUCUGACAAAUGGAAUAAUUCCCGAGGAUAACAUGAAGCCAGAACCACGAAACUUCGGGAGAACAAACAAGAUUUAGAGGAAUACUCUUCUUCGAUCUUCAAAUAGCGACGAGAAACACCACCCAAAAUUACUGAGAUACUCCGGGAGAAUGAAAAAGAGUAAGGGUUGAACCUAAAAUGAAAAGAAUUUGAAAGCGAUCUUGGAGAUGGCAUCUGACUGAUGGGAUCCAUUCUUACGUCACACUUGAAAAGAAUUUAGAAUAACUCCGGGGAAAUUAGAAGAGUCAGGUAAGAUCCUGUAAAAAGACCUGUGGGUUAGGGCCCACUAAAGGAAAGCACUGUUGGAAAGGAUGUUGAAAAGAUAGAUGAUGCACCAGAACAAUUUAAAUAUUUGAAUGAGGUGACACCCUCGAAUUAAUUGGAACACCGACGAAUCUCCUGAGAUGUCUUACGAACUCCCGAAUGAUUGAAUGGCGAUAGGCAAACAAGCAAGGAGAACACUUGAGCUGAGGGAAAGAAUAUAAUCACUACCAAAAAUUGGAAUUGAAUCCACCGGAGAAGAUAAAGAGAUGAAGAAUGUCCACCGAGACGAGAAUUCACCGGUUGAAACAAUUAACGAAAGUCUGAAGAGGCUCCACACGAAUGAAAUUGAUGGUCGAAAGAGACUCAAACUCCGGGAAGAAAAAGGGUGGGAGGGCGGGAAAACAAAGGCAACAUGGAAGAGAGAAACGACGAAUAACUUGAAGAGAGAAAACACCGGUUGAAAUCAUUGAGGAAAGAAAGCAAAGACUUCGCACGAGUAGGAUGGAUACUCGAAUACGGACUCCGACUCCAAGAAUAAAAGGAUGGGCGGGUGGGAAAAGAAAACAACUGAGGAUUGAACUUGCAAAGAUGAAGAGGUUUGAGUCGACUUGACGAGAGAUGCACCGGAUGAAAAGAGCUGAGGAACAACGAUCGAAAAACCAACUGCGUGAACCUAAAGAAAAAUUUUAAUGGGAAGAGGAGUAAUUCAAAACACCUACAUCAAGAUUCCUGACCAGAGCGACGAAGGGGCUGAGGAGUAAAAAGAAUUCCUACUCUCCGAUAUAACUAGACUCCGAAAUCAGUUUUUUUUCUAGACUCGACAACGGCCAAACUACACGAUCAAUCAACGGGGCUCCUAAGGUCGGUCGAGGCUCUGAUACCAACUUGUCAUGCCUAAUAUGCGAUACUAUCCUAAAGAGACUUGAAGGUCCCAUCAAGGAUAGAACCGCAUAUUGAAACGCUUUUGCAAGGUGGAUAUCAUUACAUGAACAUUACAUAAUAGAUAGGGAUACAUACAUAAGGCAUACAAUGCCACAUGAGUACACCAUCAUCUUACAUAAGAGCACCAUCCGACUACGGAUGAAACACAAAUAGAAACUCAAACGACACCCACCCUACUAGCCCAGGCUGCCGACCUGGAACCUAUCCCCUGAUCGAUAAAGAAGCAGAAAAAGAACUCCAAAACAAGCAAGCAUCGCUCUCGCGUCAUGAUCAUCGCAUAAACCUAUACCUGCAACUGUUGUUGUAGUAAUCUGUGAGCCACGAGGACUCAGCAAUCCCAUUACCAUGGGUAUCAAGACUAGCAAAGCUUAAAGGGAAUUGAAGGGGUAAAGUGGUGAGGCUGCAGCAGCGACUAAGCAUAUAUGGUGGCUAACAUACGCAAAUAAGAGCGAGAAGAGAGCAAGCGGAACGGUCGUGAAGCUAGCAAUGAUCAAGAGGUGAUCCUGAACACCUACUUACGUCAAACAUAACCCAAAACCGUGUUCACUUCCCGGACUCUACCGAAAAGAGACCAUCACGGCUACACACUCGGUUGAUGCGUUUUAAAUCGUAUCUGGUGUCAAGUUAUCUACAACCGGACAUUAACAAAUUCCCAUCUGCCAUAACCGCGGGCACGGCUUUCGAAAGUUUAAACCCUGCAAGGGUGUCCCAACUUAUCCCAUGAUAAGCUCUCACGAUCAACGAAGGAUAUACCUUCUCCUAGGAAGACCCGAUCAGACUCGGAAUCCCGGUUUACAAGACAUUUCGACAAUGGUAAAACAAGACCAGCAAAGCCGCCCGAUGCGCCGACAAAUCUCAAUAGGAGCUGCACAUAUCUCGUUCUCAGGGCAACACCGGAUGAGUAUAGCUACGAGUAAAACCAACCCUCAAGUUUCCCCGAGGUGGCCCCGCAGGCAGCUCAGUUCGGACCAACACUUAGACAAGCACUGGCCCGGGGGGGCUAAAAUAAAGAUGACCCUUGGGUUAAUUACUCCCAAGGGAAAUAUAGGUGGUGGUGAGGCAAAUGGUAAAACCAAUGUUGGGCCUUGCUGGAGGAGUUUUAUUCAAAUCGAACUGUCAAGGGGGUCCCAUAAAUCACCCAACCGCGUAAGGAACGCAAAAUCCGGGAACAUAACACCGGUAUGACGGAAACUAGGGUGGCAAGAGUGGAACAAAACACCAGGCAUAAGGCCGAGCCUUCCACCCUUUACCAAGUAUAUAGAUGCAUUAAUUAAAAUAAGAGAUAUUGUGAUAUCCCAACAUAAUCCUAUCCGUCAUGGGGCAAUCUUCAACUUCACCUGCAACUAACAACGCUAUAAGAGGGGCUGAGCAAAGCGGUAACAUAGCCAAGCAAUGGUUUUCUAGGAAGGGUGUCAAAGGUUAGAGGUUCAUGGCAAUUUGGGAGGCUUGAGGAGCAAAAUAUAGGUAACGCAGCAUAGCGAUAGAACGAAGCAACAAGCAUAGCAAUGAUAGUAGUGAGAUCCAGGGUAGCGGUCAUCUUGCCUGAAAUCCUGCAAGGAAGAAGAACGAGUCCAUGAAGAAGACGAACGGAUGAAGCCGAACCAAGCAUAGACGAACGAAUCCUCACGAUCGCAACAAAACGGGAACUAUCGAGAAGAAGCACACAACACGGUAAACACACCACACAUGACCAAGGCAUGAUGCACAAACAAGUAUGAUGCAUGACAAGACUACAUGAAUCUACUCAUGGCAAGAGAUGAUGCAAACAAGAGCAACACAUCAAGGCGGAAUUAAAUGAGGCCGGGAACAACAUAUAACAAAUCCGGUAAGUCCUCAUAUGCAAAUUUCGAAAUUGGUCCAGAUCUGAAUAAACCUUAUGUUCAAGUUGUUAAACAGCAAGUUAAGAAGCACCAAGAUGAUCUACACGAGAUUCUUGUCAAGUUACAUAUAAAGUUCAUUUAAUUCGGAGCUACGGUCUAGAAGAUAUGAGCAAAAUAAGUUAAACAUGGCAUUGAUGCAAAAUGCAUACAAACAUCAAGCAAACACCUCAAAACAAGGAUGCAACAUGAUAAUAUCAAACUACAUGCAAAAUCAAGCAAGUUUCAUAUAGAGCACGCUCAAAACGGAGCAACGGUUCAACACAUACACUCCAAACAAGACAUAACAACAAUCUGCACUAAACAUCAACUACGCAUAUUGCAAGCAUCAAAACAAUAUUCUACAGCAGCUCAAUACGAAAACAGAAGGCUUGAACAUGAUGUAUAGGUAAAUCAUAACAAAACAUGAACACUGAGCUAUCUCCAGAAAUCACUAGAACAUGCUCAACCACACAUGGCAAGAUUGCAAAUGAUAAUAGUUUCAGACUUUGCAGAAAUAACAUCAGGUUGCAAUGUUCAGAGCUAUCAAACACCAUGUUACAGGAACUUAACAUGGAAAACAAAGGCAUGUAAUGAAUCUACUAAUUGCAUAGAACAAAAGUCUUUUACUGACCAUGAGCCAAAAAGGAACAUAAGAUAUGAUGGCACCCAUGUAAACAUGGCAAGUUAUAUGACAGAUUCAUACAUGGCAGAAACAACGAUAAGUAGGCAUGUUGGUGAGCUUGUAACACUCACCACAGGGCAUUACAUGGCAUUACAAGGUGACUAACCAUAAGAAGACAUGUUUAUGAAGCUAGGCAUGGCAAGAGCAAGUUCAUAGGGUACAUGGAUCACUAGCAAAACACGUGGCAAAACUGAACUUAAUGUUAACAGGCUGACAGCAACAUUAUUUAGCAAUUUGAGAGCAAGCUUACAACAAGCUACAGCAAGCUAUAAAUGCAACCAGGGGCAUGGAUGGAUAGAGCAUGACAUGUAUAACAAAACAUCCUUAGUGAACAUCUCCAGAUUAUGCAUAGAAUGACUUGUAGCAGCAGGUUUACAAAGCAUCACAAGAUAACAGAUUCAGCCUAGCAAAACAGUAACAGCAAGUACCCUACUUAACAAGCUUGAUUCACUCACCACAAAUCAUUGCAUGACAAAAUAAGCAUAGAAUCAUCAAGAAGACAUGUUUAUGAAACUAACCAAGGCAAGAACAAGUUCAUAGCAUGCAAGGAUCAACUACAACAACCUUGGCAAAAUUGAAUAACAUGUAAACAAUCUGCCAGGAAACAUUUUAUAGCAAAAGUAGACCAAGAAAAUGACAUGCUAUAAUACUCCAUAAUUGCAAGCAGGCGCAUUAAUGGAUAGAUCAUAACCAUAUGUUAAAAACAUCCUUACUAAAGUAUCUCAAACCAUGCAUGGAUCUCUCUGUAGCAUCAAGUUUACAUGGCAUCAAAAUAACAGCAGAACCGGGACUAAAAUCAGCAACAUCAUGAAGCCUAGUUUGCAUGCUUGUUCUAGUCACCACAUUGACCACAAAAAUACAUGGCAUACACCCCUGUAAAGAUGGCAUGAUGUAGCACAAAACACAUGUAGACAUCAACCUCAUAGGGUGCACACAUCAAAUGCAACAAAAAUAACAAAUCAUCAAGUUCUGUUAACAGACAGCAGUAAACAUCAUAUAGCACUCUUGCAAUGAUGAUUCAGGCAUCAAGAUGAUCUCAAACAUGCAUGAUGCAAUGGAAUGAAAUGAAGAGCAUAUCUCAAUGAACAUUUUAACAUAUUACAUGCACGAAAUAGAGCAGUAUGCAGCAAGUUAUGAUGCGAUGAACAAGAGCUAAAAAUAUGCAAAAAUUCGGGGACUUAGGGAAAAUUCGGGGUCAACCUGUUUGACCGGAUCUGGAUCGGGCAGGGGUCGCCGGGGGACGGGCUGCGCGGUGGCCAGAGAAGAAGAGAGAGGCGCCGGCGAUGGGGGGGUCACUGGAUCCGGCCAUGGAGCUGCCGGAGGAGGCCGGAGGCGGGGCGCUGCAGGACGACGGCGGCGAGGGGCGUGGGGCGGCCGGGCAGCGCGGCACGAGCCCUCCUGGCCCGGGCGCGGGAGGAGGCGGCGGGGCCGGNNNNNNNNNNNNNNNNNNNNNNNNNNNNNNNNNNNNNNNNNNNNNNNNNNNNNNNNNNNNNNNNNNNNNNNNNNNNNNNNNNNNNNNNNNNNNNNNNNNNNNNNNNNNNNNNNNNNNNNNNNNNNNNNNNNNNNNNNNNNNNNNNNNNNNNNNNNNNNNNNNNNNNNNNNNNNNNNNNNNNNNNNNNNNNNNNNNNNNNNNNNNNNNNNNNNNNNNNNNNNNNNNNNNNNNNNNNNNNNNNNNNNNNNNNNNNNNNNNNNNNNNNNNNNNNNNNNNNNNNNNNNNNNNNNNNNNNNNNNNNNNNNNNNNNNNNNNNNNNNNNNNNNNNNNNNNNNNNNNNNNNNNNNNNNNNNNNNNNNNNNNNNNNNNNNNNNNNNNNNNNNNNNNNNNNNNNNNNNNNNNNNNNNNGCGGAGGCGAGCGGGCCGCGGAGCGGGCCAUGGCGGGCCUGCGGCGCGGGGCGGCGAUGCAGGCCACGUGGCACACCGGGAUUGGAUGGGCGCGACGGCGGCGGACAUGUCCGGCUAGGGACGGACGCGUCCGGCGGCGGAGAGGGAAAAAGCUAGGGUUUCAGGGGGAGAAUUCAUCCGCGAAUUUCGAGGGGAGGGGCAUAUUUAUAGUUUCUGGGAGCUAGAAGAGUCCAAAUGGAGCACGGUUUUCAGCCACGCGAUCGUGAUCAAACGGUGGAGAGCAUGAAGGGGGUUUGGAUGGGUUUUGGGACACUUUGGAAGGGGUGUUGGGCUGCAAGACAAAAGGGGCUUUUACGGUUACCCGGUUAACCGUUGGAGUACCAAACGACCUCCAAGUGGCACGAAACUAGGCAGGUGGUCUACCGGUGCUAUACCAAGGCCGCAUGGCAAGACUCGGUCCAUUCCGAGAAAGUUUAACACCCGCUCACAAAGAGAGGCAAGAAGGGGACGCCGGAGGACAUAGGAGUGCCGGAUUGCAAAACGGACAACGGGGAAAAAGCUCGGAUGCACGAGACGAACACGUAUGCAAAAUGAAAUGCACAUGAUGACAUGGAAAUAUGCAACACGCAAGCAAAUGACACGGCCACGAUGGCGAAUAACUGGCAGACACCUGGCGCAUCGAAUCUGGGGCGUUACACAGGCAGGCAGCUGAGGUGGCGCGAUGGUGCAGCCUCCACGAAGGAUUGCAUGCUGCCACGCAGGUGCCUGCCCAGCUGGUUGGGUCGGCAGCUGUAUGCGAACGCCGGUGAAGACUUAGCUAGCGCGGGCCUCGCAGUGGCCCUGCCGGCGCGCUUGGCGAGGGUCUUGCCGGGUGGCCCGGCAAGGGUCUUGCCAUGGCGCACUGGCGUCCCCGGCAAGGAUCUUGCCGGGGGUCUUGUGGGUUCCUUCGGUGAGGAUGGUUGCCUUCCUAUCCUUACUUGAUCUCGAGCAUUCUAUGUCUUCACAAAGAUCUGCAUGCCACCGCAGAGGUGUCUCCCGAGCCUUGUCCCGACGCGUUUGCCAAGCGUCGGUGGGCUCAAGGGUGGCUCACUCGGUUGGCGUGGGCGAGCUGCCCCAGCAAGGGUCUUGCUAGGGCCGCUAAGGCUGCCCCAGCAAGGGUCCUUGCCCGGAAAACCUGCUUUGCCCAUCUGAUCUUCGUGGCCUUGGUCCUUGUUGUUGCUUUGUUCAUUUUGUGGCUUCGGCUCCUCUCCGGCUUCCCUUUCUUGUCGUGUCUGUGCGUGGCUGUGGCGGGAGGCUCUGGCUGCCCGUGCACAAGUAAAGGGGUCAAAAGCAAAGCCCCUACUUUUGUACACUGACAGGAGCCCCCGGGCCUGGGCCACACAUAAGCGUAGCACGUUGUUGGGCGAGGCCCAGAACGGUGCGCGGGCAGUUGGGGCAGAUUUUACCGCGGCCACUGUUCCGUCUGCUGCGCUUCCCACGACCCGCGUUGAACGCGCGACGUGGGGGUCGUGCACGCGCAUGACGUGGGUAUGCUGGCAUCACCUUUUAGUGGACAGUAAAGAGGCGGCUUGUGUGUCUCCUUGAGACCGCAGGGCCGCCUCUCAUUUACUGCCCUCGCUCGGGAACCGUCGUUCCACGCGCCCCAUUGCGCCCGCCCCUUGUGCCACAUUCGUUGCAUGCAGAGCGAAGGACAGGCGCAGGGGUCGUGGGUAGUCGCGUGCGUGCGGGUCGAUUCCCACGCGCCUUCAAUGGAGCGGGAAGGGCGGUCGACGGCCCCACUCGCUGUCACUUCAAGAGGCCGGAUUGGCCGAGAGGGGGCGGCCGAGCCUCACCCCCGCCCCUUUAUAAAGAGAGGCACGGGACAGAUGGUGCCUCUCAGCCUUUCACCAUCUGCCUCUUCCCAUCCCUGCUUCCUUUCUUCUUUCGCCAUGGUGAGGGGGCGCGGGACGCUUCGUAAGUGGCGGCGAGGGUCUCGGCCGGACAGCGCAUCACUCCUCCCCAAGAGCACGUAGCGACGGAGCCAGCUGCUAGAGGAAGGGGGAGGGGGCGAGGUCAAGGUCACCGUGGUUCCCGAGGGAGAGGAGGACAGGGGCGGCAGAUCCGCCUCGCCCCCUCCAGCAGCCCUCCGUUCGAUGGAGGGCCACGCCAGGGACAACCCCUGUGAAUUCUUCGUCAGGCUGCGCCAUCCGCCGCGCCGCCGGCUUCGCCUCCCGACCCCGUUUGCACGGGAGAUGGAGCUAGAUCCGCCGCAGGCGCUACGGCUGCACAUGAGGGGUUGUGGGAACAGUGGCACGUGGGUCGACGUCGAGUUCCCCGCCCCUCACGUCAUGUAUCUUCACCGAGGGUGGAAGACCUUCGCUCGCCUCCACGGCUUGACGGAUGGGCUCGCUCUCCAUUUCAAACUAAUGGAGGGCGGCCUCCUCUCCGUCAAGAUCUUCGGGCACUUUGGGACCCGCGUGAGGUACUGUGUAGAGAGAUCCUCCGACGAUGAAGACUCCUCCUCAAGCAAAAGUGGCGAGGAAGACAACGGCAGCAACGACGAGGGCAGCAGGUGGCAGGAUGACGGGUCCGACUAGGUGUCGGGCACCGCUCCGAGCGGCACCGGUGAUCCCAUCAUCCAUGUCGCCAGCUCCUUGAACUUCUCGGGGUCGCCUCCUUGGGCGGCUGGCGUAGGGAGGCUGCAGAAGAGGAAGAGGACGAGUGCAAGGCCAUUAAGUCAGAGUACGCGGGCACGGACGCCUUCGUCGCGCGUUGGCGUCCUGCCGCCUCGUCUUCGAGCUCUGCCUCCGGCGUCGCCAUCACCAUCCAGCCCUUGGAAGGCCACCGAGAUGUUCUCUUGGUGUCUUCUGCCGCUCGUAGCUCGCCUAGGUGCCCCUUUUUCCCUUCUGCUUUCUUGUUCCAUUUCCUGAGGAGAGGGACAAGAAAGGGAUUACGGGCACCUUAUAUCUUUUUAGUCUUCUAAGCCUUCGGGCCUUUGUUAUCUUUAGAACUUGUGAUCCCCUUGUUCAUGUUUUUCAUUUCGUAUGAACGGUACCUGUACGGGAUGUUUUUAAUGAAAAAGGGAUGUUUGCCGGGAUUUUCGUUCGCGGGAGGAACCCACGGCAAGGGGUGAACCCUUGUCAUCUUUAAGACAAACAUUUUCUUCCCGCCGGCAACAGGCCUUGCCGUGUCCCCACCUCGCUCAACCUUUCUCACGCUCUUGGCGGAGGCAGGGAUGAGGUGGGUUUAGGCCCCUCGUUCCCCUUGUUUGCUGCCGCGGCUACGACCAGAUCCAGACCCAGGAGAUAAUCCUUGGGUGCUGAAAAGAGGGAGCACGGUAGCUUAGAUAUAGAACGGGGUUUCAUGCAUCCCAGUUCAUAACGAAAUGCAUGAUAGAGUGUAAGUGCAUCUAGUGCCCCUUAGUGAUUUUGGUGUAUUGAAGACUUAUAGGUUAAGGGACUGAUGCGUUUGUGAGUGUACACAGGUCUAUAAGUCCAUGAGGAGUUUGAUAUUUACAGAGAAAGUUGACUCCUAAAAAUGAAGUUCUUCAACUGAAGACUUUGGAUUUCUGAAGACUUUGAAAGUGAAGAAAUUGGUGUGACCUUGAAGACUUGAUAUUCAUUCGAGGAACAUGAAGCGUGAAGACUUUUGUUUUCGUAAUUUCAUUUUCUCUUUCUUGAGUCAUAGGAAACACCGUACUGUUAAAAGGGGUGGAGGAAAUACUAAGGAAAAAAUUCCAUGUGAUGCUCAACUCAAAAUCCUACACCUACCAAUCCCUUCUAGUGAAGCCAUUGGAAAUCUCAUACAGUUCAGUCAUAUUCUUCAGUGACAGAGACGAAGUUCUUCUGGUCUCUGAGGAAUUUGUUCUGACUGAGGAGUUAGGAAUUCGCCAGUGCGAAUUGCCUACAUAGUGAGGAACAUGAUAGCCCGGAGGAUUUUGAUAGUGAAAAUUCCGACCGUUGCUGUGCUAUGUGCCAGCUGUUCCAAAAUAUCUACCCACCUAACGGUCAUAUCAAACAAGGGCAUUUAUGUCUUAUCAUGUCGGGUUGCUCCCUAGGCUAUAAAUAGCCGCCCCCUACAACCACUAGCUGGUUGGCUGCUCCAAGAGAAACUGACACUUGUCAUUUGAGAGCAUCCCAUCCUCUGAGGACUUUGAGCAAAAAUCAUCAAGUGAGGAAAACCCAAACCCAACACCUACAAACCCAAAGUGAUUGAGCAUCACUCAAGAGAUUGAUCCUGCGUGGAUCUGACGCUUAUUUCCUUUGAAGAGUGUGCUUCUUCCAGACGGUUAGGCGUCAAGGUCUAGAGCAUCCAAGAGGAAUUGUGGAUCGCCGAGUGACCGAGUUUGUGAAGGUUCGGAAGUCACCUGAAGACUUACCACGAGUGUUUGGCCGAGGUCUGUGUGACCUUAGCUCAAGGAGAAUAUGGUGAGGACUGUGUGUCCGGGACUGGGUGUCCUCGAGUUAAAUACUCAGCCGCUCCAACCAGAUGUACAACUGAGACAGCAGUUGGAAUUGGUCUACCAAAUCAUUGUCUUCACCGAGCUUACUGGUUCUAUUUCCUCAACUCUUUCAUUUCCUCAUGUCUUUUGUUGUGUGCAUGUUCAUAUCUGUUUGAAGACUUUGACUGAAGACUUUCUCAAUUUUCUCAGUUCAAUUUCUUCAGUCUGUCCGUCUUCUUUCUUGUGUUAUCAUGUGUUUACGCUUUCUGUACUCUGUGCUUGUCUUCAUUUCAUCAUGAUGACUAUGCUUGUGUUCUAUUAUGUUUACUUCUGAGUACUUAUUCUGCUGCAAGUAGUUCUUCAGUUAGGAAUUUCCUCACCAGCAAAUUCCACAGUGAAGAAUUCAUAAAAAUCGCCUAUUCACCCCCCCUUUAGUCGAUAUAACGCACUUUCAAUUGGUAUCAGAGCAAGGUACUCCCUUGUUCUGUGUGAUUUUUGUUUAACCGCCUGGAGUUUUAGUUAUGUCGACCGCAGGUAUGAUCAAGGUCUCUGCUGGGUGUCCUACCUUCGAUGGAACGGACUACCCCUACUGGAUAAAUAAGAUGUGAAUGCAUCUUGAGGCAAUUGACAAUGAUAUCUGGUAUGUUAUGGAAAAUGGUGUUCCCUCAGUCGCACCUUCUCUAAACACUACUGAUGUGAAGAGAUUCAAGCAACUCGAUUCUCAAGCGAAGAAUAUCAUAUGUGCCCAUCUGAGCAAAGGACAGUAUGGAAGAGUGAGUGCUUUGGAAACUGCUAAGCUUAUCUGGGAUAGGCUGUCCAAAGUGAAUGAAGGAGUCUCAACUCAACGUGACUCUCGUGUUGACGUUCGUCACAAUCUCUUCAACCGCUUCAAAAGACUCAACAAUGAGAAUGUUCAGCAAACCUUCGAUCGCCUCACUGACAUCUCAAAUGAGCUUCAAGUUCUUGGCGCCACUGACAUCACCGACCAUGAGGUGGUGAAGAAAUUGCUGAGAUCGCUUGAUUCUUCAUUUGAUACUCUAGCACUGAUGAUUCAAAAGCGUGCUGACUACAAGUCACUUGAUCCCGUUGAUAUCCUCGAGAGGCUAAAUACUCAUGAGUUCCAGCUUGCUGAGAAGAGAGAUCUCUAUGGUUCGAGCUAUGGCAGAUCACGUGCUCUGAAGGCCAAGGCAGUCUCUGAGUCUGAAGAUGAAGACUCUGCUAGCAGCCUUGGUGACCCUGAAGAACUAAGCCAGGAACUAGCACUGCUCGUGAAGAAAUUUCAGAAGUUCUCAAGAUGUGGCCGCUUUGGAAAACCCUCAAGGAGCAAUGAUUCCUCAUCAAGUGACUACAAGAAGAGGCUAUGCUACAAAUGCAAGAAACCUGGUUACUACAUCCAAGAUUGCCCUCAGUGGGAUAAGGAAUCAAAGAAGAAGAAAUAUAAGGAUUAUAGUUCUGAUGAUGCAAAGAAGAAGAAGAAACCUUCAAAGUCUUCAUCAUCAAAAUCCUCGAGGUCUUCAUCUCACAAGAAGAGCAGCUCCAAGAAGGCUAAAUGGACUCUGAGGCUGAAUUUGAGGAACAUGAGGACGAGGAGGCAUCUAAGGAGUCCGAGUCUGGUGUGGUGAGCCUAGCUCUCGCUACUGCAUUCGUCAACAAGUCUAUCUUCAACUCUGAAGAAAAUGGCUUCACCAACAAGACUGAUGAAGGCAAUGAUGACUACGCUACCACCUAUUGCUUCAUGGCAAAGGGUGCCAAGGUAACGAAAUACGCCUCCUCUGACUCUAGUGAGGAUGAAUCUGAUGAAAAUCUCAAGCCCGGCUACUCUAAACUUGCUAAAAUUGCUGUGAAACAACAAAAGGCCUUUGAAAAGGUUCAAAACAUGCUAGAUAAAAGUGAUGAUAUGUUGGGUGAAGAAAUGGAUCGCACUAAAACCCUGACUGAAAAUCUUCAGAGACUUCAGUCCAAGUUUGACAAUCUUCAAGGUCAUCAUAACACUCUCUUAUCUGAUCACGAGAAGCUUUCUUAUGAAUUUCUUCAAAGAAAGCAAGAUAUUGAAAAGCUAAGAGUGGAUUAUGAAGAUCUUCAGAAGGAGCACAAUUCAUUACUUCCUCAACAAAUCAGCGGUACUCAGGAAGAAUUUAUUCCACCAUGUUUGAAGUGCAUUGAACGUGAAACUGCUAAUUCUUCACCAGAAUGUUCAAAUGCUUGUAAUGCUGCAAAUUAUUCAUCUGUCUCUGCUGUCACUAAUUCCUCAUCUGAGGAUAAUGCUAGUAUCACUGAUGAUGCAGGGCUGAAGAAAUUGUACAUGACAGGCAUGUACAAAAGCCUCAAAGGGCAUCAGACUCUUUGUGAUGUGCUCAAAAAGCAUAUCCACAACAGAAACCCUAGGAAAGAGGGUAUUGCCUUUGAGAGGAAACUCAAUGCUGAUGGAACAUACUGGAAGCCUGAGCAGUACCCCAAAACCUCAUGCGUUGCUACAAAGGGACCUCCAGUUGAUCCAUCCAACUUAUCUGGCGUUACAUGUGAAUCUCCUCAUUCUUCUGAUGAGUCAUUUGACUCUAACUAUAAACUGUUCAAAAAUCAGAAUGGUGAAGUAUUUGCUAGAUAUGUUGGGACUAACUGCAGGAACGGUUCCCCUAUGAAGAAAAUCUGGGCUCCCAAAAGUUGCCUUUAAAUUCUUCAGGUGAAUGUCCUCAUGACACCACCUGUGAAGAAUAGGAACUCCAUAUCAAAUUCUUCAUAUGAACCAAAUUCUUCAUAUGGAUCCAAGUCCUCAUAUGGACCAAAUUCCUCAAAAGGAUCAAAGUUCUCAUAUGAUCACCAUCGUGCUAACCCUUCUGUUUCGCAGGGUAGAGCUAAGGGCUAUGAAUAUGUGCAUUAUUCUUCAAAUCAUUAUGUUCAUAAGUCCUAGAAGAAUUUCUCUGCUUAUUCAUAUGCUUACCCUAACCCCUCUUAUGUGAAACAAAGUGGACUGGCGUCUAUGCCACCUUCCUCAUAUGGUGCUCACAGAGUGAUGAAUUCUUUCCCACCCCUUCAGAUGUGGGUGGUGAAGAAAAAGAACUAAUAUCUUAUGCAGGGUCAAGUCUCCAGAUGUGCUCGAAACGUCUGAAGAAUUUGCUGGAGACCUGAACAGUGCCUGAUAGGACGCAUGCUAAUCAUGAUGAAAUGAACUUUCAUUUCACACGUCCUCCUACCAAUUUAUCUGUUCUAUUGCUUGAUGAAAUUGAUCUGGUGAUAUUGAUGUUAUGUUCUUCACUGAUGAAGUAUAUGAGUUCAUAAGUUGCACUAAUUCAUCUGCAGGAUGAUCAACCCAAAGUCAAUGAGUGGGUCCUCGAUAGUGGAUGUACAAAUCACAUGACUGGUGGCAAGAAUCUAUUGAUGGAUGCUCCUUUAUCACCGUCACAUCUGAAGCAUAUCAUCUUUGCUGACAAAGGCAAAAGUCAGGUAUUGGGUCUAGGUAAGGUUGCGAUCUCUAAGGACAUACACAUGGACAAAGUGAUGCUUGUCGAGUCCUUAGGAUACAAUCUCAUGUCUGUCUCAAUGCUUUGUGAUCUUGAUAUGGUUGUUGUCUUUGGCAAGUAUCGUUGUGUUGUGAUCAUGGAAGCUGACAAUUCCAAAGUCUUCGAAAGCUUUAGGAGAGGAGACUUGUACAUUGUUGAUUUCUCUACAGGACCACAACCAGCUGUAUGCUUACUUGCAAAAGCUUCAGAAGGCUGGCUAUGGCAUCGACGACUUGGUCAUGCUGGCAUGAGGAAUCUGCACACGCUCUCGAAGAAGAAGCAUGUCAUUCGCAUUGAGAAUGUCAAAUUCCUCAAGGAUCACUUAUACGGAGCCUAUGAAGCUGGGAAGAUGACAAAGGCCAAGCAUCCAGCGAAGACUAUCAUGACUACCACUCGGCCAUUUGAAUUGCUUCACAUGGAUCUCUUUAGUCCUAAUCAUUAUUCUGCUGUUACAAAUGAUGCAUCUCUAUAUGGAUUUGUUAUUGUUGAUGAUUACUCUCGUUACACAUGGGUACACAUUGUCACUUACAAACAUGAGGUGCUGGAAGUCUUCAAACGAUUCUCCUCGAGGGCUUCAACCAACUUUGGUGUGAAGAUCAAGCACAUCAGGAGUUAAAAUGGAACUGAGUUCAAGAAUUCUGGUCUUGACGACUAUCUUGAUGAACUUGGUAUUACUCAUGAGUUAUCUGCUCCUUAUACUCCUCAACAGAAUGGCGUCGUGGAGCGCAAGAACAGAACUCUUGUUGAGAUGGCUCGCACUAUGCUUGAUGAAUACAAGACGCCUCGUCGUUUCUGGAGUGAGGCAAUUGAUAUUGCGUGCCACAUCAUCAACAGAGUAUAUCUUCACAAAUUCUUCAAGAAGACUGCCUAUGAACUCCUCACUGACAAGAAACCCAAUGUGAGUUACUUCAAAGUCUUCGGUGCUAAAUGUUGGAUUAGAGACCCUCAUCACACAUCUAAAUUUGCACCGAAAGCACAUGAGGGUUUCAUGCUUGGUUACAGAAAGGACUCGCGCACCUACAAAUUCUUCAACAACGUUCUUCACAAGGUUGUUGAAACUGUGGAUGUGCGGUUCGAUGAAACUAAUGGCUCGCAAAGAGAGCACCUACCUUCUGUGAUAUAUGAACCAGCACCUGAGGAUUCUAUCAAGUUCAAAGCCACUGAGGAUGUCAUACCUACUAAAGAAUCUUUUGAAGAAGUCAUUCUAGAACAUGAUGAAUGUUGAGCUGGCGCACCUGAAGAAAAUGGUGCUAAGGAAAAUGCACUUGAAGAAAAUGCAGAUCAAAUUCCUUGAAGACAACCCGCUCAUCCUCGUAUUGCAAACGAAGUGCAAAUCGAGAAGAUCAUCGAUGACAUUAAAGCACCAGGUCCUCUCACACGCUCAAAAGCUUCACAUUUGUCUAACUUUUGUGGGAACUUUGCUUUUGUCUCUAUCACAGAGCCCACUAAGGUAGAUGAAACAUUUCUGGAGCCUGAGUGGAUUCAAGCUAUGAAAGAAGAAUUACAUCAGUUUGAGCUCAACAACGUCUGGGAGUUAGUCAAACGUCCAGAUCCUCGCAAGCACAACAUUAUUGGCACAAAGUGGAUCUACCGCAACAAGCAAGAUGAAAAUGGCCUUGUGGUGAGGAAUAAGGCAUGGCUCUUAGCUCAAGGCUACACACAGGUUGAAGGAAUUGACUUUGAUGAAACUUUUGCACCUAUUGCUAGACUUGAGGCUAUUCGCAUAUUACUUGCUUAUGCUAACCAUCAUGAUAUUAUCUUACAACAAAUGGAUGUGAAAAGUGCAUUCCUCAAUGGUAAGCUUGAGGAAGAGGUAUAUGUUGCUCAACCACCAGGUUUUGAAGAUCCAAAGAAUCCUGACAAAGUCUUCAAGCUCAACAAGGCCCUCUAUGGCCUCAGGCAAGCCCCUCGGGCGUGGUAUGAUACUUUGAAGGAAUUCCUCAUGAAGAAAGGCUUCAAACCCGGUUCACUCGACCCAACUCUUUUCACUAAGUCUUAUGAUGAUGAAUUGUUUGUGUGCCAAAUAUAUGUUGAUGAUAUCAUUUUUGGCUGUACUGACCAAUGAUAUAGUGAUGAAUCUGCCUAUAUGAUGAGUGAAGAAUAUCAAAUGUCUAUGAUGGGAGAAUUGAAGUUCUUCUUAGGUCUUCAAAUUCGUCAACAGCGCAAUGGGAUAUUCAUAUCUCAGGAGAAAUACCUCAAGGACGUAUUGAGGAAAUUCGGCAUGCACGAUUGCAAAGGGGUCAAAAUUCCAAUGCCCACAAAUGGCCAUAUGUGCACUGAUGAAAAUGGUCAAGACUUUGAUCAAAAGGUAUACCGCUCCAUGAUUAGCUCUUUAUUGUACCUAUGUGCAUCUAGGCCUGAUAUUAUGCUUAGUGUUUGCAUGUGUGCCCGAUUUCAAGCUACACCGAAGGAAUCACACCAUAAGGCUGUGAAGCAUAUUCUUCGAUACUUAGCUCACACACCAACACUUGGAUUAUGGUAUCCCAAGGGCUCUUCUUUUGAUCUCAUCGGAUAUUCAGACUCUGACUAUGCGGGUUAUCGUGUGGACCGCAAGUCAACAUCAGGCACAUGUCAUUUCCUCGGACGAUCUUUGGUCUGUUGGUCCUCGAAGAAACAGAACUGCGUAUCACUCUCCACUGCAGAAGCUGAGUAUUAUGCUCAACUACUAUGGAUGACGAAAACACUCAAGGACUAUGGCGUCAACGUGAAGAAUGUGUCUCUCUACUGUGAUAAUGAGAGUGCUAUCAAGAUUGCUCAUAACCCAGUUCAGCACUCGAAGACCAAGCACAUCCAGAUUCGUCAUCAUUUUCUUCGUGGUCAUGUGUUAAAGGGCGACAUCUCCAUCGACCACGUCAGCACUGAAGAUCAACUGGCCGAUAUCUUGACUAAGCCCUUGGAUGAGAAGAGAUUUAGCAAGCUGAGGUGUGAGCUAAAUAUCCUAGAAUCUUUGAAUGUUCUCUAAAAUGGACACACAUCCUAACACUUAUGCUGACUUGAUGACUUAGAUGCGCAACACACGAAGUAACAUUUUUCUUUAAUCAAUGAAGACUAACCCUCUAAGUGUGAAGAAACUAAUGAAGAAAUUGAUUCUCAGAGCCCUAUGACAAUUGUACGCGGUGUCUGAAAUCAGCUUUCUUAUACGAUGGGUUACGCCACCACCCAAAGUUGAAAAUCUUCAAUUUGAGUUUUUUCUUCAUUUUUGAAAUUCCUCAGUAUUUCAAAUUCUUCAACUUUGCAUUGUCUUCACUCUUUCCGGUGUUGUUCUUCAUUUGAUAUAUAUAUAUAUAUAUGAGUUUUAUGUCCUCUACAACAUUCACUUAUUGCUAAUUCUUCAAGUUGUUUUUCUUCUGCUAAGUGAAUGUGAUCGGACCCUUCCCUUCUAUGCUAAACUCAACCCAGUCUAUUCACAAAUUCUUCAUGUGCGUUCUAAUUGAAACUCAUUCAAAAUCUUCACUGUGUCCUUGACAGCUGAAGAAAUUGCAAACGGAACUUUUAAACUUAUCUUAUCUAAAUUUUCGGCAUUGCCGCUCAAACCGUUCCACUUCUCAUGACAAUACAUAUCUAUUCACCCACUAUCCUACACGAUCGCCACCUCUCAGUACGUGGGUGACACAUGUCACACGAAUGAGAAGGGCCAGGGGCACGUUCGUACGAUUUCCUCGGGUGAACAGUUUUUCACUCCUUCUAUAAAUACCCAUGCCUCUUCCUCACUUCAUUUUCACCUCGCUCGCUCUCUCCUGCUCGAGCUUCCUGAAACCCUAGCGCCGCCGCUACUUCAUCGUCACCGGUAAGGAAGAGCUUCGCUGCCUCAACGUCGUCGCCGUCGUACUCGCGCCGGUUGUGGACUUCUUCACUCCGUCGCCGCCGUAGCUGUCUUCCUCUGCCAAGUUAGGGCGUGGAAGAUCUGACCCGAUGAACUUCACAUCUACUCUUUCUAGUUUGUCGCGUUCUUCACUUCGGGUAAUUAAAAGUUGCUUUUACUGCCAUCUUUGAUUCUCAAGUUUUCUUGAAAAUCUUCAAAGGUGUUUAUUUUUCAAAUCUUCACACACAUGAACACCUCACAUGUCAUCUGCUCUUGAUUCGUUUCUCUAAGCAAUGAUUUUGUUCAAGAUUCCUCAAUUGUGUGGAUUUUCAAUCUAUACAACUCUAGAACCUAAGACAAAGAAUGCUUAGUGAAAUUCCUCAAGACUCAUCUGGUCAAAUUCCUCAAAACCUAUUCAUUUUUGAAAAACCUUCUGAGAACGCAUAUGACCUCUCCAAAUUCCUCACAACUAUACUCUGUUCACAGGUACAAAUGUCCGCUGCUGAAUCACUAGGUUCUCAUCAACUUAACUCAUUUGCAGCGUUCCUCGAAGAAAAGUUGCACACCUCUUCAGAAACUUCAGUUGUUCAUAUUCCUCACCUGAAGAAAUUGGCUGACAAGAAGCCACAGAAGGGAGGAAAGAAGCCUGAGGUCAAUACUGCAUUUGAGAUUCCUGAGGACAUUUAUGUUGGAUACUGCACUCCUGAAGAAGCCAAGUUUGGCAAGGAGGACAAGAAUCAGCGCAAGGUGCGCAUACAAAGGAUAGAGAGGAGAUGGGCACGAGAAUGGAGGGAGUACAGGUAUGUUACUCCCAAGUAUAUGAAGAAAUUCGUGCUCAGCCCUCCAUGCUCAAGACCUCCAUUGGCACCAGGCCAAUUGGCAGAUCCCACCAGCCUCAAGCGCAGUGAGGACUAUUCUGAUGAAUGGGCAAAGCGCUAGGCCAAAUUGGCCAAGCAAGCAAAGGAAGCAAUGAAGAAAUUCAACGCAGACUCAGCUACUACUGCUGCCUCUGCUGAGGCCUCUGCUAGUCAGCCAAAGAAGGCAACGCAUAAGAAGCCUGUGCAUAAGUCCAGUGCUUUACCUUCAAUGCCCUCACGGCCAAGCUCCUCUGCUAUGCCCUCAAGGCCAGAUUCUUCAAGGCCCUCACGGCAAAUUCCUCGUACUGCUCCUUCAAAGUCCUCAGCUCCUCCAUCAAAGUCUUCAGCUACUUUGACCAAAUCCUCGGCACCUAUGCAUCUCUCCUCAUGUGAAAGGACUCAAGGCUUCUCAAUUGCCUCAGGAGCAUCUACGAGCUCCUCAGCUGCUCGAAAUUCCUCAGCUGGUCCUUCUCUGCUGAAGAAAAAGGCCACUGCUGGACGAGGUGUUUGACCAAGUCCUCACAAGAAGCAGGUCGCCUUCCAAGUGCCCUCUGAUGAUGAUGAGGCUGAUGAUGAAGAACUUGCCGAAAUCAUCAGACACAGGCAAGCCAGGGCUGCUAGAGCCAAAGGCAGCAAUGUGCCGCUGAUGUUGGAUAAAAGUUGAUCCUCGACUACAUGGAUCUGUGGCACAAGGACCCUAACACGCCUUUGCCGGAGAUGAACCUCACUCCUCGUCAGAGUCAUGUGUUGACUGCCUUCAUUGAGGAAGAAAAAUGGAAAUUUGAACAAGGAGUGCGGUUCCUUCAGAACAAGCUCUUCCCUUUUCAGAUUGCUUCUUUGGGCCACUUGAUCAUCGACUGGGCAAGGUUGGAUUCCCUCUACUUCGGGUGGCUACUAUUUCUCAACAAUGUUUUUUCAUUUGAUCCAAUAGCCCUCUGUUAGAUAGGAACAGCUUUGCUAAAUACUGAGAACUCUCGAAUAGAAUAUGAGAAGGGAAUGAAUACAACAGGCUAUGUCGAGCCAAGAGCAUUUUCAUUACUAUGGAAAAUGAUGGAUAGCAAAAUCCAUAAUCGAUCAUGUCCUUCAAGUCGCACGUUGCUUUCUACCACAUCGUUUAAACGAAGUUUUACCAUAACAAGCAUUCCUCUUUUCAUUGCAAAGUGGUAUAGAGAAUUGAUCCAAAAUGGAUGGAAUCAUGAAUAGUCAUUGGUUUUGUUUUUAGCGACGAGAUCAAUUAAAGUAAAGUGGGUAUAACUUGAAUUUGUGGAGACUAUAUGUACAUGAGAUACAUUAGGAAAGCGCAGUACAAGAAAUAGCGCUACCUCAAGGACAAUGUCCUCACUCUCACUCCUAAUCAGCUCCUUGCUUUGCAAGUUGAAAUCAAACAACUGAGUGAUGAAUUUGAUCACUACCAUGCUGAUUGGAAGGGUGCCAAGGUGCGGUUCGUCAAUCUGACGAAGAAAUUCACUUCAAGUACUGCUCCUCCUGUGCACGUUGAAGCAUCUACUCAGCCUACUGAAGAACAUGCCAGCACCGCUGAUGACAAUCAGGCUGCUGAAGAAAAUGAGAGUAUCACGGCUGAUGACUCCAUUCUAGUCGCUGAAGAUAUUGUCAGGGCAUCCACUAGUGGUGCGCAUGAAGAAAGUGAACAAGUCAGGGCAACUGCAUCAGUUGCGCCUGAGAAAAAUGAACCAAAGUCAUGUGCACCUCCUGCUCCUACACCAACUCCGAUUCUUCCAUCUCCAUCAGAUGCGACGAAGACCAAGGCUGCAGAGCGUGUAGCUGUGAAGAAAAGGAAGGCAUCAACUUCAUCAAAUUCUUCAGCUCCGAAGAAGAUGAAGCCUCUGACUAGUUCAAUUGACAAUCCAAUUGAUGUCGUUCCAGUCUCCUCCAUGCCAUCAAAGGACCUUGUUCCUUUUGGCGAAGACUAUGUGAUUCCCAAUGAAUCUGAUGAAGAAACUCCUUCUGCUGUUUCAACAGAGCAGUUGGAUGACGAAAUUGAAGUGGAUGAAAUCCCUUCAACUCCAGUCAUUUCCUCACCUAUGCCUCAGUUCACUGCUGAAGAGGCAGGUGUUGAAGAAAUAGAAGAUGAGGAUGUGGACAUUGGCUGUACCACUCCUGUGAUCAACGAUGAAUUUUGGGACAGUCAGCACCCCAACUCUCCAAUGUUCACUCCACUCCAAGCAAUUCCUCAGUCCCCUGCUGUCACGAAAGUGCAAAUGGGAUCUGAAGAACCUCAAGCAACCCCAAGUGUUCAUGAAGAAAUUCCAGUCAGUAGUGGUUAAGAAAUUGUCAAUGAAGAAUUGAAGACCCAGGCUGAAGCUGCAGAAGAGCCUGAAAUUCCUCAACCUGAGGAACCUAAGAUUGCAAUUCCUGAGGUGGUGAUGCAAUUGACUAACACUCCUCAGCCCAAGCCAAAGGAUCCUUUCUCAAAGAAGCAAAAAUUCAAAGUUGAUGAUUUCAUUGGUGAGCACGUGUUCUUCACUGAAUUCAACCCCUAUGACAAUGCUCAUCUUAGAAGGAAGCGUUUCUGGACUGCCAGCCAAGCCAACUUCUAUUCCUCAGUGCUCUUCAACAAGGACAAAGUCUUCGACCACGAGCACAUUCCUCAUGUGGACAUGGAAUCCAUGCCUAGCUUCUCUCAAGUCCUUAGCAUGUUUCAUGAUGCAGGCUUGCUCAAUUUCUGCUCUUACAUAGUUGAUUGGAAUGAAGAGCUUAUUCUUCAGUUCUACGCAACUCUGCAUAUCACAGGUGAUGCUGCUGACGUCAACUCAUGGGUGUUGGACUGGAUGACUGAAAACACACAUUACAAGGCACCAGCCUCUGAAUUGCUUCAUGCCUUGCCAAUCAGUCCUCCACUCGAUGGUGCUCGUUGUCUGUAUGAUGAGCCUGAACUCACUGCUCACUAUAUGUAAGUGCUCAUGAAGCCGCUGAAGCCAAGUCAAGCCCCAAGGACCAAAUUCCUCAUGAAGGAAUUGCUCUAUGUGCCAAGAACCAUCUACCACAUUCUGACAAAGACCAUGAGUCCCAUCAAAGGCCAUGACUCAUCCGAUGAAGAAAUUAUCGGAAUGAUGAAGAAUAUGCUUUUCAACAUCAUGCAUGGCAUCCCCAUAAAAUAUCAUGAUUUCUUCAUGAGGACUCUGGCGAAUGUUGCACUUUCACCAUUUGAGCUGAAGCCUUACGCGUCGUGGAUCAUGAGAUUCCUUAGAACAAGGUCUUCACUCAGCUACAAGGCU